rnacentral:lncRNA from 1 species
AUCAUUUUGACCAUAUUUGAGUUUGGAGAUGAUCUUACAAUUUAAUUGGGAGUUUAUUUGGACCUUAAAAGUGAUUAUAUGCAUUUGUUGGACUUUAUUUGAGCUGCAUAUGUAUAAAAAUUAUUUUUAUAAAUUAUAUUCCAUGAGGAAACUAUUUUUCCUAGCUUCCAAACAGGUAUUUGGAAUUUCAGGAAUUUUUUGGAAUUUUUCCGAUGCGGUUUGGUAUUUUAUUUUCCUUAUUUUUUUUUGGCGAUUUAGAGAACCAGAAAAAGCUAUUUCUUUAUUUGUUUUUCUUUUAUUCCGCGGAGUGCGUUUUCUCUACAUGGAGGCGUAUUUCCGUGAAACCCGUUUUCACUUAAGUGUACCGAAGGGGUAUAUUUUAAUCUCAUCCAUCCAUUUCGCAUCCAACGGCCAUCCUUCCUUUUUCCUUUUUCCUUUUCCUUUUCUUUUUUUUUCUUUUCUCCUUUCUUCCUUCUUCUUCCUCACGCAAGCACAGGCACAGCCUGUUCUGGCUGCGUCCAUGGCCAAGCCCAGCCCGGCCGCCGCCGCUGCUCGCCGGCCCCGCCCCGCCGCCCUGGCUCCGCCGCUCGCCGCCAUAGCGCCGCAGCCCCGCCGCCGCGCCGCCCGCCCGCGCUGCCCCUGCCAUGGCCGAGCCCGAGCUCGAGCUCGAGUCGCCGGCGUCCAUGGCCGUCCACCUUGAGCACCAUCCUCCGAACCGUUUUUCUCCGUGAUUUCUUCACCAAUUCGUGAUCCACACGGCAAGGAACCUAUCCCAACAAGAUUGAAACCAUCCCGGACUCUAUCUCGUCCGAAUUUUAAGCGAAACCGAAUCCCGUUCAAAUCUCACCCGUCGCCGGCCUUAUCCCGAGCGCCCCGAGCCCUAUAAAUACCCCAACCUGAUGCCCUCGAGAGCCCCGACCAAUCCCUCGAAACCUAGCUCGAAGCCGCAGUCAACCUUGCCACCAAUUUCAAUUUUCGUCGCCGUUUCCACGCAAACUCCGGCGAGCAAUUCCUACCGCCUCGCCCAAAUUAGCCCGAGCCACCACCACCUUUAGGUCCCUAUCGAUGCCUAGAACACCAUACACCACAGCCUUGCCUCCGGAAACCUCUGUUUCGCCGACUCCCAUCAACUCCGGCGAACUCCAUCUUCUCCGGUGAGCUUUCUUGCUCUGUUUCCGAGUUGCAGUCUAUUUUGAUUAGCCUACUUCUAUACUCCGUAUCUUUUGUUCCGUAGGUCCUAUUUAGAUCUGUGCUUACGGUUGGAUUAGUAUUAGUUGUGCCUUGUUAGCUGCUGCUCUAAAUUUAAGUUUGUGUAAUUCUUAUUCGGUUCUUAUUAGAGUUAUUAUUUGGAGUUGUUGAACAAGUUAUUCAUUGUUGCUUUCGUUCUUCGCGAUAGAAUAUCCCGAGUGUGAGUGCAAAGAGUGCCAGGGAAAUUCUGAUCGUUACAGCAACUCAGGCUCAGGCAAGUGGAUGCCUUUGAUCAUCUAGAAUCCUAUAAUUUUUGCAUAUGCUACUUUGUUUAUAAGUUGUAGGCAUGCAUGUGUAAGUUUAUAUUGUUAUGAAGUAUUUAUAAAAUGCAUUUGCAAUUUAUUAGCUAUGUCCUAAGUAGUAUGCCUAUAGGUUAUUGUCAUGCCACCAAUUACCCUAAGUUAUUACUUGUAUGAUUUUUACAAAGUGCUUGCUACAUUAUUGUACCGGGAGGGACCCAAAACUAUUUUCAAAGUAUUAAGUGCUCAGAAUUGAGUCGUAUGUGUUUGGAAAAAUGUUUUCGAAACAAAACCUCAAUUUUUUUUCAACUGGGCGGAGUGGUAUGUUUGAGACCAUUAUUGGUUGUCGAUAAGGGCAGCAUCCAAUUCGGCUCUGCAGAUGCUCAGGAUUUUCGGUGGGGACUGCCGUCCAUAAUCUAAAAGUUCAAUUCUUUUCCAAUGGAACCCAAAAGCUUACCUGUACAACCACCUGCUAUUAUGGCUCUGGCUUAGUCGAGUAACUAGCGGGAAACCCUUACUUGGGUAUCGUCAUCCGGAGAGGGGCCGAUGUGCUCAUAUGGGGCGGGCGGUGCCAGGAUUAAGUAUAGGGGGCUUCUAGUGAAAGACUUCGUCACAAUCUUUACCUAUUGCGCAUGCUUGUCGUUAGGCAACACUUUGGACUGAUUGUGUCUGGUGGGUAAAGUGUACAAACCUCUCGAGAGUGUCAAUCUAAUCGAUUCGCCAUGCCCUUGGUUAUGGGCGAUCUUUGAGCUACUAAGUCUGGUUAAGAGGAGAUCUUCUAGUUUUGUUUUCAAAAACCAAAAACUGUGUGUACUAGCAUUGAUCCAGGCACUAGUACUAUAAACAAAGUGAUUCCAGGUCCUUAAUGGUCUGGGUCGCCACAGUAUCUGUCCUGCCAACCGUUCUGGGGUAGCGGCAACUCCAUCGGCGACUGAAUGAACUCCUGGGGGUCCUCCACUCGGACCCAGCACCAGUCGCUCCGCCACUCUUUCUCAAUCUUCUUCCCUGACCGACGAUGAACUCGGACUUCAUCUGGUCGCGGGCGCGGAAUACCACCCCCGAAGACAUCGCCUUCGCGUUGUCAAUGCGGGGGUAGAAGUAGUGGCGGAAGAGCCCCACCGACGGCAUCACCCCCACCAACGCCUCGCAGAGGAACCGGAAGGUGGCGAGGAGGAAUAGCGACAUGGGGUGGAGCUGCGCCACCCACAGCUGGUAGGACUCCAUCAGUGCGUGGAGAAAUAGGGAGAAGGGCGGCACCAUGCCGCAGAGGAGGAAGCGCGCGAACACCCGGAAGUCGUUGUCCUCAUGCUCGGCGCCCGCCGGGAAGAUUCGCGUCUCCCCGUGCUCGUUGAAGUUGGAGGCGACGGCGUGCCGGAGCUUCCCCAGCGCCUUGCCAUUAUAGCCGGGGCCGAAGAAGGCGACUGUGGCGCGCAUCUCCCGCCUCUUCUGCUCCUUAGUGGCGGCCGCCUUGCUUGCGCGUAGCGUGCCCGCCGAGCGGCCACAUGGUGCCGUUGUUGCCCCCGCUCGCUCUUGCUCUUGUAACGGACACUUGCGCCCGGGAACAUCCUCCCCGGUAACCAAACUUCCUGGGAGGUGCCGCACCAAUGGCACCCGGGGCGCCACCGCUGCGCGACGCGUGGGCCACCUUGCUUGGUCCCCGGAAGGAUCGCACCCCGGGCAGCUCCGUGCGAGAUGCCUGGCAAGUCGCCAGCCCAGCAGGGCUAGCCGGGUUGCGGGGGGUUUGCCUUGCGGGGCAGCAGGAGGAAUCCCGCCGGGGCACUUCCCGGGAAGUUCACUUGCCGGGAGGGUGUUCCCGGGCGCAAGCAACCGUUACAAAGACAGGAGCGAGCAGGAGCAACAACGGCGCCCCGUGGAGCCUCAGCGGGCACGCCGCGCGCAGGUUUCGUCAGGACGAGGAGUGAAGCACACGCCAACAUUUAAUGCUCCUACCAAAAGGGGAUUCCCUAUCCUUUCAGCCAACAGUACCCGCCUGUGGUAAAUUUCAGGCGCCUAGACCCCUAGCAAGGUAUAGUCAUCGGUACCUUUAGCAUUAAUUCAUUUAAAGCUUUAGUACUGUUUGAUACCGGUGCAUCCCAUUCAUUCAUCUCAAGAGGAUUUGUGCAUCAAAAUGGAUUACCUGUUAGCACACUAGCCAACCCCAUGAAAGUAAAUUCACCGGGUGGAGAAUUGAUAGCCGCCUAUGACUGUCGUGGACUAAGUUUGGAAAUAGGGAAACACACCUUCCCCACGGACCUAAUAAUAAUAGGGUCCAAGGGUUUGGAUGUCAUCCUACGAAUGGAUUGGCUGGCCAAGUAUGAGGGACUCAUAGACUGUGUCAGAAGAACCAUCACCCUCACCACCCCAGAGAAUAAGAGAAUCCGUUUCAAGUCAGCUUUUGAACUUAAGAGACCUAAGGUCAAUUCUCUUAAGGGGGUUAGCCUGGACGAGGUUCCAGUAGUGAAUGAGUAUCCAGAUGUUUUCCCGGAGGAGUUGCCAGGUAUGCCACCAGACCGUGACGUAGAGUUUCUCAUCGAGUUGAUGCCUAGAAGUGGACCCAUAGCCAAGAGACCGUAUAAGGUCUGUAACAUCCCAAAAAUUUCAAACUUUUACAUGUGCAUUGCAUCCAUGAGCAUCAUGCCAGAAUUGCAUAUUGGAAUUCAAAUUUGAAUCUCAAAAGGCUUUGGAAAGAUUUCAUUUCAAUGAUGCUUUUAUGCAAAUAGCCAAACCCCUCCUAGCCAAACUAUGCAUGUACUUGGUAGGUCUUUUAUAACUCUGGUGAACUUGCCAAUACAUUCAAAUGUAUCGACCACGUAGUGGCUGCAAUUAACAAUGCAGGUGGAUCCGAAAAUGACUGAGGUUCGUCGGUUGUCGUGGGUCAUGUGCUUACAUUCCAACAUGCUCUCACCUUGGAGUAGUGUGGCCCUUAUGUUCUACCCUUUUCCGCUGCAGUAUUUUGAAACAUUGUUUUAUGAUGUUGAAACAGUAUUUGUUUUAUGCUGGCCCCAGAGGUCAUGCGAGGUUGUAAGUACUAUUAAAUUCUGGAUGAUGCGAUGUAAUAAAGUACUUUGACCUUUGUUUCUGUAUAUUUCAUCAUGAAACUGUGUGUGCUAGUGAGUCGAUUCAGGGACUAGCACAGUAAGCACAGAGAUCGAACCCUAGUAAGGGGGAAGAUCGCUUCACCCUAGCGCCGGUGAGCCUCCAUGAUCAAUCUCGAUCGUCCAUUCUUCAUCUAUGGUCCAGAUUAGAGAAGCUGCCACGUGGCACUGCUUAAUAAAAAUUAAAAUCUAAUUUUAAUUGCCCGGAAUAAUUAAAUGGCACUUUUGCAGAAAAGCCCCUGUAACUUCAAAUGAUCAUAACUUUUAAACCCUUUGGCCAAAUUUGACAAACUUUACCUUUUUGGAAAGCUUUCAACUUGUGGAAUCUUUUGACACUGUUCAAUUUCAAAUUUGAAUAUUUGAAUCACUUUCAAAUUGCAGAAUAGUGUUUAAUGCCAUUUAAAUCAUAACUAAUUAUUUAGAAGUCCUUUUUAAAUGAAACCAGUGCCCAAAAAUUUGCUUUAUUAUCCUCUGUCCAUUGGAAAAGAGAAAUAAAUAUUUUGAAUUAAUUUGCUUCGCUGAUGCAAAUAAAACCUUUUUUAGGGUUUAUACCCCAACCUUUGCUAAUUGUUUAAAACCCUAAUUACAUGUGCUUAAUUAUCAAUGCUUUGGACCAGUAGAUCACCCGAAUAAAAUAAACCCAAUCAUGUCACAUGUUUACAUCGCAUCAUAGCAUACAUUCUUUUGUCUUGUUUGAAUGGUGUGUUUAUGUGUGUGUAUAUUGUUUGUAUUUGAAUAGUUUUCUCGGAGAGCGAACCUUGUGAUUGUGAGGAGUCUUUGAACUCCAACUCUACCAAGGCAAGUUCACUUUGAUCAUAUCCUAUUACUGUUGUUUUUAAAAUACUUAUGCAUUAGAGUUGUUUGUAGAAAUGCAUUGAUAGGACUAUUACUCAUACUUACGCUAGCUAUGAUUGCCACCGGGUCUCCGCCCCAGACGCCCCUACCGAACCUAAAAGGGGGACGUGGCCGCACGCCCCCAGUGUCGGAGCACCAAGCGACGACAUCUGGAGCGCCAGGUAGGGGGCGCGGGAGUGGACAACGCCGGAGAUCGCCGGCAGCGGAAGUUUCCAUCGGCGUCGGCUUCGCUCUUCUUCGCCGACGAGUCUAGUCACCAUGCCCCCCAAGCAGGCUGGUGACUCAUGCAUAGACCCGCGUGAGGCCCCAAACGGGCGGUUUGGGCGAGCACGCUUGGCGUCGCCCAGGCCAGCCAACGAGUGGACUCGCGGCCUGAGGAUGCCCCGCGGCAGCGGCACCCGGAGCACGCCGCGUCACGGGCGACCCCUGGAGGUUCGCACCCUGCGCACCCGGAGGCGUCCGGGGCCAGGGCGGGAAGCAGCCGUUUUUAGGAAAUCGGUCGCCCCCCGUGCGAACCCCGGCUGAAGCCAUCGUCGCCGCGCGCGUCAUGGUGCGCACGAGCCGCAGCAGGGCACGCCGGCGCACGAGACGUGGCACGACGCGGCCCGCUGCCCUAUCCACAACAACUCCACCCACGACGCGUAGAGUUGCCGCGUGCUGCAAGGGAUCAAGCAGUGGAGGGAGCAGCGCCAUGAGGAGCGCCGCGCCGCCGGCGCCUGCUUCAAUUCUGGCGACAUCGGGCAUCUCUCCCGAGAUUGCCCGAACGACCCCAGAGCGGGUCCGAGGCCAGCCGGCGGUGGUGCCGGCAGGGUUGAACCCCAAGGAGGGCGCAGCCAGCCCCUCAUUGUGCGGGAACGCCCUCCUCGGGGGCGUGACAGGGCGCGCGCCGAGGAGCGGCGCGAGUCCGACUAUUCUGGCGGCGACGAGCCGGGCUUCCAGGAGCCUCGUGGCGUCGCCUGCAUCCAUAGGGGAGCUUAUGCUCUCCCAUCCCACGCCGCGGUGCAGCGCCUCACCCGCGACGUGUGCGCGCUGUUGCCGGAUGCGGAGCCGCAACAGCCGCUGAGGUGGUCGCACGUGCCGAUCACCUUCAGCGCCGACGACCACCGGGUGCGACAAUUGGGUUCCGGGGUAAUACCCUUCGUCGUCUCGCCGAUCAUUAGCAAUAUGACGGUGACCAAGGUGCUGGUGGACAACGGAGCGGGGCUUAACCUCCUCUCCGCCAGGCUGGUGGAAAAGCUCCAGCUGCCGAUGGAGCAGCUGAAGCCCACCGAACCGUUCCGGGGGGUGAACCCCGGGAUCGUGCGCCCGCUGGGACGCAUCACGUUGCCGGUCACCUUCGGGUCCCGGGAAGCAUUCAGGACCGAGCACAUAGUGUUCGACGUGGCGCAUACCCCGUUGCCCUACAACGGGAUCCUUGGUCGGCCGGCGCUGAUCAAGUUUAUGGCGGCCCGCGCCACCCCGCAAGGCGCAGGCUCGGGCUCGCGUCCCGGCAAGGGGCGAGGGCUCCGGGAGGAGGCCGCCAAUGUGAAGAAGCUGAACCUCCAAGCCGGCGACAAGGAGCGCACCGUUACCGUCGGUGCGAACCUGACCGCCGAAUAGGAAAGCGCCCUCGUCACCUACCUCCGGAAAAACGCCGACGUGUUCGCCUGGGAACCGUCGGACCUUCCCGGAGUCCCCAGGGAGGUGAUUGAGCAUCGGCUCGCGGUGCGCCCGGACGCGCACCCCGUCAAGCAGAAGAUCCGGCGGCAGGCACAAGAGCGGAAAGAUUUCAUCAAGCAAGAGGUGGGCAAGCUCAGGGCUGCUGGGGCGAUCAGGGAAGUUUUAUACCCCACUUGGCUGGCUAACCCUGUAGUAGUGCCCAAAGCAGGGAAUAAGCUUUGCAUGUGCGUAGAUUUUACCGAUCUUAACCGUGCGUGCCCCAAGGAUCCCUUCCCUGUACCCCGUAUCGACCAGAUAGUUGAUUCUACCGCUGGUUGUGACCUGCUGAGUUUUCUGGAUGCUUUCUCUGGCUACCUUCAAAUCAAGAUGGCGGUCGAGGAUGAGGAAAAGACAGCGUUUAUCACCCCGGUUGGCUGCUACUGCUAUACGUGCAUGCCUUUCGGGUUGAAGAACGCGGGCUCCACAUUCCAGCGCGCCCUGCGAGAAUGUUUGGGCCCCCCAGCUAGGCCGCAACGCGGAGGCCUACAUGGAUGACAUCGUCAUCAAAUCGAAGCGUAGGGACUCGCUGAUUGAUGACCUGCGGGAGCCAUUUGACAACCUCCGCAAGAUCAAGCUCAGGCUGAACCCUGAUAAGUGCACCUUCGGUGUCAACUCCGGGCAGCUUCUGGGUUUCUUGGUUUCACACCGGGGGAUACAGGCCAACCCGACCAAAAUAGAAGCCAUCAAGAAGAUGGAGGCCCCCCGCAAGGUGAAAGAUGUCCAGCGACUCAACAGCUAUGUUGCCACGCUUGGACGCUUCAUCUCCAGGCUGGGCGAGCGUGCCCUGCUUUUCUUCCGGGUAAUGAAGAAGAAGGGUCCAGUCGACUGGACUGCCGAGGCCGAGGCGGCGCUCCAGGAACUCAAGCGAUACCCGAGGUCACCACCAAUCCUCGUCGCCCCCAACUUGGGCGAGCCGUUGCUACGCUACUUAGCGGCGACUCACCAGGUGGUCAGCUCGGUGCUGGUUGCCGAGAGGGUGGAAGACGUCCCGGGGAUUGGGGCUGCGGGGCAGGGGGCUGAGCAGCCUCCGGCAACCGCCUCAAACCCAGGGACCACCCCAGAGCCGGCAACCCCGGCGCCUCGGAAGCGGUUGGUGCAGCGACCGGUAUACUUCGUCAGUACGGUGUUGCACGACGCGCGGACAAGAUACCCGCAAGUACAGAAGCUCCUUCUGGGGAUUCUCCUUGCGUUCCGCAAGUUGUGCCACUACUUCCAGGCGCACCGCGUCACGGUGGUGUCCGGGUUCUGCCUCGAGAGGACCCUCACCAACCAUGAAGCCACCGGGAGGGUGGCCGAAUGGAGGAUGGAGCUAUCGGAGUUUGACCUCCACUUCGCCAACUCCAAAAGCAUCAAGAGCACGGCCCUGGCGGACUUCAUCACGGAGUGGACGUCCACGGGCGUAGAAGAAAGUGAGUCGGAGACCGGCCUUCCCGGCAAGCCGGACGAGGACCACUGGGUCCUCUACUUCAACGGUGCGUUCAGUCUCCAGGGAGCGGGGGCUGGGGUCGUCAUUGAAUCACCCACAGGGGACCAGCUGCGGUUCGCCGUCCAACUCGACUUCGCUAACUCCACCAACAACACGGCGGAGUACGAAGGCCUGCUUGCCGGGCUGCGGGCAGCGAUCGCCCUCGACAUUAAGCGCCUGGUUGUUCGCGGUGAUUCCCAGCUGGUGAUCAACCAGGUGAACAAGGACUACGAUUGCCCUCAAAUGGCGCUGUAUGUAGAAGAGGUCCGCAUGCUGGGACGGAAGUUCAAGGGUUUGCGCUUCGAACACGUCAAGCGAAGGGACAACUUCGCUGCUGACGAGCUGGCCAAGAUGGCAGCAGAGCGCCGGAAGCCUCCGGUGGGGGUGUUUUGUCAGAAGCAACUGGCUCCUUCAGUCACCCCCUAGCCGGCUACCGGGGACGCCUGUAACAUCCCAAAAUUUCAAACCUUUACAUGUGCAUUGCAUCCAUGAGCAUCAUGCCACAAUUGCAUGUUUGAAUUCAAAUUUUGAAUCACAAAAGACUUUAAGAGAUUUUGUUUACAUCCCUGUAACCUUUGGAUUCUCAAACCAAUAGGGUUGAGGUAUAAAAAGGGUUUAAUGCAUAUAUAAGCUAUCCCAUAAUUUUUGGUUAACUAAUUGGAGUUGAAAAAGUAUUUUAUUCAAACAGAUAUAUAGCCCUAAAGUCAUGUAUAGGGCAAAUGUAUUUUUAUAUAUUUUAUUUUGAAGAGAAACUACUUCCAAAAGUUGUAUCAUGGUAGAACAUGAUUUUACAAAUUUUCUGGAAUUCAUUUGGACCAAUUUGGAGUUCAAACACAAAAGAUAUCAAAGAAAUGAGAAAAACAGAAAAAGAAAAGGCCUAAAAGAAAAAAAAAAAGGGGUAAACCGGACCGGCCCGGCCAAAAUGGGCCGAACCGGCCCAGUCCGACCGCGCCCGACCGGCCCAGACCGCCCGGUCCGCGCGCGCGCGCCCGCAGUCGCUGACAGGUGGGGUCCACCUGUCAGCUGCGUCUUCCCCGAAGGAAAGCGCCGCCGGUCACGCGCGCGAUUUCUGGCCGCCGUCCCCGCGCGCCCGCCGCCGCAAUCCGCUCCUCCGGCCUUCCAUUUUCAUGCCCGAGCACUCCUUUAUAACCCCCGCGACCUCCUCUCUCUUUCCCCCUUGUUUCCUCAUCCGAUCGCGCCGCCGGGCUGCCCCGAUUUCUCGCCGGAGCCGUGCCCGCGCCGCCGCCCAUCUUCGUCCUCGGCGCCGUCCCCGACCGUCCCCGACCGCGCCCCGUCUCCGCCGUGACGCGCCGCGCCUCCCUGUGCCUUCACCGUCGCGCCCACGUCGCCGGAGCGUCCCCGCGCCGCCGCGCCCGUGCCCGCGCCGCCGUCCGCCGACCACGCCGCCCGCUCGUCCCGUCCUAGGCGCCGACCCGCGCCGCCCGAGCCCGCGCCGACCGCGUCCCCGAGCUCGCCGUGCCGCGCCGCUCCGUCCCCGCGCCUCCCCGUCACGCCAGCCCCACCGGAGACCCCGCCGCCGUCCCCGCCCGCGCCGCGCCGCUGCCGGAGUUUCCUCGCCGGAACCCUAGGUGAGCCCGAGAGUCCCCGUCCGUCCGAUCGUGAUCAACGGUCCAGAUUAGAUCCCGAUUUUUUUUUCUUUUAACCGAACCGUUAUGCACCAAUGAGAUUGCGACACGUGGCACCCGGUUUUAUAAAAUAAAAAUGUAAUUUUAAUCCCCCGGAAUUAAUAAAAGGCACUUUUGCAGAUAGGCCCCUGUACCUUCAAAUGAUCAUAACUUUAAAUCUGUUUGGCCAAAUUUAAUGAUCCACACCUUUUUGGAAUCCUUAGAAAGUGUAGAAUCUUUUGGCACUGUCCAAAUUUAAAUUUUAAUAUUUGAAUCACAUUCAAAUUACAGAUUAGGGUUCAUAUCAUUUAAAUCAUAACUAAUUAUUUAGAAGUUUUUUUUUGAAUGAAACCAGUGCCCAAAAUUUUGUUUUAAUGUCCUCUGUCCAAUGGGACAGAGAAAUAAAUGUUUUGAAUUAAUCUAUUUGGCUGAUGCUAAUAAAACCUCAUUUUAGGGUUUAAACCCUAGGCUUUACAAUUCAUUUAAAAACCCUAAUUGCAUGUGCCUAAUUAUCAAUGCCUUGGACCAGUAGAUCACUCAAAUAAAACCAACCCACCCAUGUCAUAUGUUUUGCAUCGCAUCAUGGCAUACAUAUUCUUUUGUCAUGUAUGUAUUAUGUGUUUAUGUGUGUGUAUAUGUUUGUUGAUUGUAUAGUAGUCUCGGAGAGCGAACCUUGCGAUUGUGACGAGUGUUUGAACUCCAUCUACUAUCAAGGCAAGUUCACUUUGAUCAUAUACCCAUUAUUUUAUUAUGCACUAGAUUUUUAUUAGUUGCGUUGUCAGGAUUAUUAUUGUAUCUAUGCUAGCUAUGAUCUGUCCUAGUAGUAUAGGAUACCUUUGCCAUGACUUCACCACCAAUUGCCAUCGUAGUAGUAAGAGGCUAUGCUAUGAUAAUAUACGAGGGUGGUAUUAUUACAAAUAUGAUACUAUUGAAUUACAAUAUGAUCUUCCUAGUGUAUGGCAAAACAAGUAAUUCAAUGAAUCGUCCUGGGUGGGCUGCUUUGAGUUUUCGGAUGUCGUGACGUUAGGUCCAUUUCUAUGGGGCCCGCUGAGUCGUCUCUCCGUGUGAUUCGGGAGCGUCCAUGGUCGCCUCCCCGUGCGAUUCGGGGAGCGCCUGCGUCACAAUGUGGGAUGCCACCCGGGAUAACCAGAGACUGGACUAGUUUCCUGUUUAGUAGCUUCCAGUACAACCACAUGGUAUUAUGGGCUCUGCCAGGAUGGAUGUAAGAAAUGUGAACCCGGAUCCGAGGUGACAUCGGUAUGUAGCAGUGUAGGUGGGGGCGCGUCCCUCAGGUGGUUUGGGGGAAUAUGUUCUGAAAAUUCUUGUAAUCGAUGCCGUUGCUACUCCACCUGGAGGACAGCAAGGGAUUAACACGUCGAUUUCUUGUGGGUAAAGUGUACCACCUCUCGAGAGUGUCAAACUAAGUACUUAGCCGUGUCCCCGGUUACGGACAAUUAUGAGCAACUAGACAUCGGAGCUGUAAGGAAUGUCUCACUCAUUCCAAUUUCCUAAUAAAAUGAAUGGUUUGAACUGGGUAGGAGCAUUGAUGUUUCUACUCAAUGUGCCUAGGUUAAUAGGAGCAUGGGUGUUUUUCUACCCCGUGUCCAAUAGAAUUCAAAACUAUUUGUCUAAAAAUGAUAGGAUUUGAACAAUGAUGCUUUUAUGCAAAAUAGCCAAACCCCACUUAGCCAAACUAUGCAUGUACUUGGUAGGUCCUUUAUAACUCUAGUGAGCUUGCCAAUACAUUCAAAUGUAUUGACCACGUAGUGGCUGCAAUUAAUAAUGCAGGUGGGUCCGACGAUGAGUGAGGCUCGUCGUUUUGUCAUGGGUCAUGUGCUUACAUUCCAACAUGCUCUCUCCUCUGGGGGUAGAUGAGGCCCUUAUACUCUACUUUUCCGCUGCAGCUUCAUGAUACAUUGUUGUCAUGGUUUUGAACAUUAUUUGUUUAUGCUGGCCCAAGAGGUCAUGCAAGUUUGUAAGUACAAUUUAAGUUCUGGAUGAUACGAUGUAAUAAAGUACAUUUGACCUUUGUAUCUUGGUAUUACAUCUUGAACUGUGUGUGCUAGUGAGUCGAUCCAGGGACUAGCACAAGUAAGCACAGAGAUCGAACCCUUGGGAAGGGGGAUCGCUUCAGAUGGUAUCAGAGCAAAGUGUUGCCUGUAGGAACGUGACCCUAGUUUGGAUUAAGAUAAGACAAGACCAAAGACCAAACCUUAGGAAAUGUUCUCAUCCCUUUCUGUUCUAUAUCUAUAUACAUACAUUUUAUUCCUUAUCCCUAUUCAUCUAAAUCUUUGCAUUUAUAACUUACAUAUGCAUGACAUGUUUAUUGUUUUAUUCCACAUAUACACCGAAUACUAUGUUUAUUACUACAUAUGUAUGCUUAAUAUAUUUUACCACAGAUGCAUAUUCGAUUUUUACACCAUACACCACUAUAAUCAUGUUGCCAUGUUGUUCACAUGUUAGUAUGCAUCCAAUUUUAUAUUUACAUUUCCACCCUUGAUAUUAAUGUUAUCACUUGAUUCCCACUCUACCACUUUUAUUUUAUUUUUACUUACAUAAAAUCCCGGCAACACAAGGCGUAGCACGCAAAGGCUAAGGCAACCAUCCCGUGAGGCAGCCUCGGGAAUAAGGGACAAAAAUUAAUCAAUUUUAAGAGCUUGAUUAACUGAGUGUUGAAUGAUUACAUGGGCUAAGCGGAACAUGGUUGUUCAAACAGCGGUAAGCGCCCUACUUGUAGGGAAGCAAACAAAAGAAGGUAGAGUGGAAGCAACGAGCACGGCGGGAGGCUGCGGCAACUAGUUGUCGCCGUCUUCGGCCGGGGGGUCGGCGGGGAGAUCAGGCGCCGGCUUCAUCUGCAUCCGCUCGACGAACUCGCGCAUUGCUUGGGUGUGCAUGGGCUCGUCCUCGCUGUCGGACCAAGCAUCCAGCAGGGACUCGAAGGGAAACUCCGGGUCCCGGAGAUGAAUCCGCGGGAGGAUUGUCCCGGCAACCUCCCGAGCGCAGUUGGCGACUUCGUUGGCGCCAUACCUGGCGAUCCAGACAUCGAGUGCCCCGAGCUUCCCAACCAAGUCGGAGAAGAAGGGGACCAGUGUCGUGACGUCCGUGCCGUCCACCUCGCCGCCUGCAGCUCGAACUUGGGCAGCAGGUCGCGUAGCGACUGGGCGAUCUUCGUCAGCUUCUCCGUCUCGAGCUGCCGCUGCCCGAUUAGCGUGCCGUGAUGGAGUUGGACAUCUUGCACGGCCUUCUUGGCCUUGCUGACGCGGCCCUCCAGCUUCGCAAGCUCUAAGGCCUUGGUCGCGUUGGCCUCGCCGGCCUUCGCAAGCUCUUCCCGGACGGCGGCCAACUCGUCCUCAAGCCCGACCGCUCUCUCUUUGGCGGAGUUGAGCUCGGCCUCAUGCCGAGCCGCCGCUCUCGCCGCAUCCUCGGCAACCUUGACCUGCACCUCCAACAGGACGCGGAGGCCUUGGAUUUUGCCGCGGUAAUUGGCGAUGAGCUCGCUCUUCUCGUCCAGCCGCGUCUGGGCCGUCGUGAACACCUCGGCAUGCUCCUUCCGGGCCGUUUCGAGAGUUGCCGCCAUCGUGUCGAGCCUUCCUUGGAGCUCCACGCGCUGGACCUCCAGUUGUCGACAGAGCUCGGUCUCCGGGACUACUGGCUCCCAAGCGGCCUCUAGGGCUUGCCGGGCCAGCCGCGCCUCCUCUUCGGCAAGGCGCGCCUCCUCGCGCAACCGGGAGAGUUUGCGCCGCUCUCUCUCCACGGCCUCGCGCACCUCGCUGAGUUGAUUCUUGGCGGCGGUUUGGCGCUACUCACCUCGUUGUAGGAGGUGACGAAGGCAAAUUGCUGGUCCCCGACGGCGUCCAGGAACCGGUGCCCCCGCUCAAAGACGCUCGGAUCCCAGGUAAGGGGGUUCCAAGCGACCCCAGCGAGGGUGCCGAGGUCGGUGCCAGGGAGAGCCCCCAAGGAUGAUGAAGCCCCUGCUGCCGAAGUGGGGCUAGGCGCGGGGUCGCCAACUUGCUCCCGGGGGUGUUGCCGUCCUUCCCUGGCAACUUCCCCCGCGCCUGCACUCCGGGACACCGGGGUUGGAGAAGGCUCCCUGCUUCCAUGGGGGUUGCCCCCUGUUGGACGAUAGGUGAGCCCGUGCCGGCCAUGUCCGCGGCUUCGGGCGCGUCGCCAGGUGUCGUCACGGCGGCGGCGGUGUCCUCGGCAGCCGCUGUGUCCGUCGCAGCGGGGCCGGACGUGAGAGCCGGUUCCGCCUCCAUCUCCGCCCCCGCGGCCUCGACGACCGAGUCGGGGUCGACCACGGCCACGCCCGCUCCGGGCAUGGGCGCACUUGUGCCUGUAACAAUGAGAAGCAUGAGAACCAGCGAAGGAUGACGCCUUCAAAGGCGGACAAGAGUGACCAGGGCGGUUACCUUGUGCGGCCGUCGGGCAUGCCGGGGGAGACUCCCCUGCCUCGCCUGCGCCUGCGGGAGUGUCCAAGAGGCUUGCCGCGGGCGAGCUGCCGCUCACUGCAGAAAAAGAAGGUAUGUUCAUGAGUUUGGCUAACAAAAAUUGCAAUUGCAGAGAAUUAGCAAAGAUAUAGCCGGUGCCGGCCUUGUCUCCGUUGGGGCUGAGUCGCCAAGGGACACGCCCACGCCGCCGCGGACCCCUGUGGCAGCGGGGUCAGUGGCGCCGCCAGCGUUGGCGCGCGUCCUCCUGCUUGGUGUGCCGGGCGGGGAAUUGAUCCUCGCCCUCUUGCUGGCACCCGCCGGCGAUGAGGACUUCGGAGGGUUGAGCCGGAGCGCGAAGCCCCGGAAGACCCCCUGAGCGAGCGGCGCCGUGGGCGCCCGCGGUGUCGUCGUGACCUGGAGAGCUCCGGGUGUCGACAACGAUGUCGCCGCGGCGCCGGGAGCCAAGCUCGCGGAGGCCCUCGCUACCGGGGCGAAGGCCGUCGCCGGGGCGCCGGUGACCCCCGCAGGCGCGGGCGCUGCCGGGGUACCGACGGGCACCGUGGGACCGGUUCCCGCCGCGGUGCUGGCGGCCGCCGCCGAGGCACCCGCGGCCCCUGUUGCCGCGUGCCGUCGAGGUACCGACGGGUGCCCGGGAAGCUGCCGCCACCGCCAGGUUGGGGGCCGCUGCCGGGGCGAACGGCGCCAUUGAGGAGAGGGCGGCGGCCGCUGCGAACGCCCUCAAUCUUCUCACAAUCAAGGGCGUGCUGUCGCUGCUUUCCUCGUCGACGUCCUCCAUGGCGACGACUUCCGGGGAAGCGGCCACCUGGCCUGCCUCGUCGUCCAGCGACCAGAGGGAGGGCCAGCUGGGCUCGGACCUGCCCUCGCUCUCCUCGAGCACCUGCUUCCCGCGGGAUGCCUGCGGGGGAGCGUGCGGGAUCCGGGUGGGGGUGUUGUCCAUCAGCUCCCACUCGUUGCAGGGCGGGAAGGCACCGACGAUGAAGCGGAGCGCCUGGACGCCGGCGUGGAGAGCGGAGACCCCUGGAGGGAACUCCGUUGAUUGGAAGAUCUCGCCGGAGAUCCCCCUCACCCAUGUCCUGAGGGACUCCAAAUCCAUGCCGUCUGCUUGGAGGCGUGUCCUGUCCCCGGAACUCGUUUACAUCCACGAGGGCCGGGAGCGUAGUUGCAGCAGGGCUAUGCGCCGAUGGACGAAGGUGCGCACCACGUCGACAUCGGUGAGCCCCGCUAGUCACAGCGCCUUGAUCUUCUCCACGAUGGGGAGGAGGUCGGCGCCCCGCUAGUCCUGCCAGCCGUUCUGGGGUACCGGCAACUCCGUCGGCGGCUGGAUGAACUCCUGGGGGUCCUCCAACCAGACCCAGCACGAGUCACCCCGCCACUCUUUUUCGAUCUUCUUCCCCGACCGGACGAUGAACUCGGACUUCAUCUGGUCGCGGGCGUGGAAGACCACCCCGGACGACAUCGCCUUCGCGUUGUUGAUGCGCGGGUAGAAGUAGUGGCGGAAGAGCCCCACCGGCGGCAUCACCCCCACGAACGCCUCGCAGAGGAACUGGAAGGUGGCAAGGAGGAAGAGUGAGGUGGGGUGGAGCUGCGCCACCCGCAACUGAUAAGAUUCCAUCAGUGCAUGGAGGAACAGAGAGAAGGGCGGCACCAUGCCACAGAGGAGGAAGCGCGCGAACACCCGGAAAUCGUUGUCCUGGUGCUCGACGCCCGCCGGGAAGAUCGGCGUCUCCCCGUGCUCGUUAAAGCUGGAGGCAGCGGCGAGCCGGAGCUUCCCCAGCGCCUCGCCGUUAUAGCCGGGAUGGAAGAAGGCGACUGUGGCGCGCAUCUCCUGCCUCGGUCUUGCUUGUCGCGGGCUUCUUCGAGGUUUGGACCUCCUUCCCCUUCCUGGUGGUGGGGGGCGCCAUGGAAAGCGAGGGCGGAAGCUGGCAGGAGCGCAGGGAUACGAGACGCGGAAGAGGAUGGAGGCGAAGGGGCAAAGUGUUGUUCCCCUUUUGGCAAUAGUGGAGGCUUUAUGAUGCCCGGCCGUUUGGUAACAGCCGGUUCCGUACCCUACGGGUGCGCGGAGAUAACUCCUAAUCACUGGGAAUAAUGUGCGGAGUGGCCUUAACUACCCUAUUUAGGGGGGGGCGUUAGGGUGGAGAUCGCGCGUCCACUGCUUCGCUUGUAACGGCGCCGUACACGGGGCAGCGAAGGGACGCGGGCCCGCGACUGAUCGGGGCCCACGCGUCGGUUAACGGCGUAGCCCGGCAACCGACUAGGGGGAGACCCUUCCGGGAACAGGUGAUGCCGGCCCACGCCCGGGGGCUACUGUCGCACCAAAGGCACCCGGGGUAUCACUGCUGCGCGACGCGCGGGCCCCUCUCCCGGGUUCCCGGGAAGGCCUCAUCCCGGGGAACGUCUAUGAGCUCCCCAGCAAGCUACCAGCCCAAAAGGGGCUAGCGGGGCUUCGGGGAAUAUUCCCGCUUGGGCACCUCCCGGGAAGCUGCUUCCCGGGAAGUGGUUCCCGGGUGCGUUGGGCCCGGGUGCUUCUCGGAGUGGACUUGUUGGGACUGGGGGUUCCCGGGCGCGUGCCCCCGCCUCGGGUCGUGGGGCCUAGUGGACAGCGCCACAAGGGCACGUGGCAGGUGCGGGAUGCGCGGUCCCACCAAGGUAAGGAGUAAGGCGCGCGACUCAGUAAACGAGCCGACCGACGGGUAGUUACCCGUCCGAUCCAAGAAACAGUGCUUGUCUAAUCCUACCCUAGGGUCUUAGGCUCCUAGCAGCGGAGGUGGCACCCAUGCACGCCACCAGCUCACCGGGGGGAGUUGCAUGCCUCCUCGUUGGACACUUGUAGCUCAUGCACCGUGGCACAUGUGGCAUCCCCUUGUGUAUAAAAGGAGGACCCAUGCCAACGGUCAAGGGGGUUAGCCAGUUGGACAGUCAUUCAGUUCCACAAGUUCCCUUCGCUGGCUCGUUAGAUCGAGGAUCGGUAGGUUCCAGUAGACAGCCAGCAGAGAGCAAUAAGGAGUACUUAGACAUUGAGAGGAAGCCCGGGAACUUGCCCGGCAACUUGUAAACAUUUGAUCCGUAAUCAAUAUCAGUUCAGACAGGCAUGACGUAGGGUUUUACACCUCCGGGUCGCCCGAACCUGGGUAAAAAACGUGCGUGUACCUGUUCUUCGACUAGCGCGCACCCUUGGCACUCCAUCUCACCAGCCCCGUAGGGCCUCAUCGGCCGUGCCGGCGACCACCGGGUCUCCACCCCAGACGCCCCUACCGAACCUAAAAGGGGGACGUGGCCGCACGCCCCUAGUGUCGGAGCACCGAGCGACGGCAGCAAGGAAGCUGGGAUCCUGAGGGGUCCUCGGAUUCGUCACCAACCGUCACGUGGGGUGACGCGCGCACCGUCCUGAACGCCCACCAGCGCCUGGAGCGUCGGCGCCGGCGCAAGGUAGAGCGCCCGCGCCUGGAGGAGCAUGAGGAUGCUCCCAUGGGUGCCGAGGAUGGCUGCACCGCGUUCACCCGCGAGCUGCGCCGGGUGACAUGGCCCUGCAAGUUCCGAGCGCCGGCGCUUGGGACGUACGGUGGGACUGUGAACCCGAAGGAUUUCCUCCUGACCUACACGUUGGGGAUGCAUGCCAUCGGUGUCGACGACAAUGUCAGGGCUAACCGGUUCCCGAUGGUCCUCAAGGGAUCGGCGAGAACAUGGCUGCUCAACCUGCCUGCCGGGUCCAUAGCCACUUGGGCGGACCUGCGCGAGCAGUUCAUGAGCGCGUUCUGUGACGCCCCGUUACCUUGGACAACGUCAGCGUAACGGAACAAUCGCCACGUACAGAGUUGCGCCAAGAUCAACUUGAGGAAAACAGUAGCAUGUAUAAUAGAAACUUUCACCGUUCGCAAACGGUGUCUUAUUACAAGGACACUCAAAGUGUCUCCAAGUCUCACUACGUCAAGAGGUGCCUCUAAUCUACACUUUAUUAGGCCAUCUUGGACUACCCUCCUGGGGGUCUACGCAACAUCAUCAUCGCCAGCGGCAUCUUCAUACUCAUACUCCACUUCAGCAUAUUCAUAGUAAGGACCGGACUCAUCAUAAGUACCAGCCUCUAACUCGUCGGGACUCACCAUGAUCAUUGGUUCUGAAAACAACAUAUGAAGCAAGGCUGAGUACUUAUGAAAAUACGUACUCCGCAAGUCGCCGGAAAUCAUUAUGCAUGAGUUAACCUUGACGACCAUCAAGCCGUCGGACCAAAAAUAAUUAUAUCCGAAAAUAAGUUAUUUCUUUUAGUAUUUUGUUGAAAACCAUAUUUUAUUUAAAAAAAAUCUACUGGCGGUAGAUCGACGUGGGAUCUUACAUCCUGUGUUAGAGGAAAACCCACACGACGCACUUCCAAACCCGGAAGUUAGGAGUGAUAUCACAUCUAACUCUAAUCAGAGGUGUACUGCUUUGCCCAUAGCAUCACUUGGUCAAUCCUCGUCGAUGCACUAAUCAUCUGCACACAACUUGACCAAGGAACCUGAACCAAAACCAGCCCGUACACUACCUUUGCUUUGCCGCCUUGCCUUACGUAGGCCCGCGGGUCGAGACCCCUGACCGGUAGGUCCCGCCCUAGGGUGUCUGCACCUACCCGGAUACAGCCUGUCCCAUUCCAGGUCUAUGGUCAGUACGGUCUGCGCCGCUUUUGAAGUAAGCGCCAGUUGGUUUGUCCUUAUAUGAUAUUCCUAUGUAGGAGAGCCCAGACUUUCCAUCAACCCUAUCCGGGUUGCUCUACUACUUGAGCUCCCUACCCGCCGAAUAUACUCUUGCCGUAACCCUGUCCGGGCCGGCAAAUCUAGUACUGACCAAACUAAUGGAUCUUCCUGAUCCACAUAAAUAUUCUUAAUAUUUAUAAAAAUUAUUUUUCAGUGACAUGCAAGAAUUUUGAAAUCCAACAAAUUUCAUAAAAACAUUUUCGAAGACAUGUUCAAAGGAUGAGACUUGCCUGGUACCGCUCCGGUCAACUCAGAAAUACCGUCCGGGUAUCCUACUUGUCCGUAGUCAACUCCUAAUAUUUAAUUCAUACACAUGUUUAACAAAAGUUUCUAACCAACAAAGUAAUAAGGGAAAAUAAAAAUAAAAAGCAUACGUGCAACAACUUACACUAGUUUUCCUAUUCUAUAUCUAAGCCAAACAGAUGAGAGGAAUAAACAUGUGUGUGUAUGUGUGUGUGUGAGCAGAAGCCAGCAGCAAGUAGUACUAAUCCACCCAGCGUGUCAUCGGUUUGUGAAGGCAAAAGAAGAAAGAAAAAUAAAUAAAUAAAUAAAAAUAAAGCACUGCGCAGACAAACUUCACUGACCGCAUCUAUUCUCCUCCUCCUCCUUUUUCUCUCUCGUUCCCUGCCUCUCUUUCCCCGUUCUCUCCCGACCGAGCGCAGUACGCCGCCACCAGCUCGAUCUCCCUACUCCGGCCAUGUCUGGCAACUACAAGGCCAGCUCCAGGAUCCUCUCUCCUUCCUCUACUAGAUCCCCAACUUAAUUUCUACCAGUCGACAUCUACUCGUCCCAAAUUUUUAAACCUAGUUCUUGGGCUGCCAUGGCCGGAGCCGUCUACCUUGGCUCCGGCGAGGUCCACCACGUCGUCUCCUGCUACCACGGUGCUCCUCCACCUACUGGUCGUCUACACGCUGAGCUACAAUACCAACAAGGAGGUGCGAUGGCGUCAAGGCGCCGUCACCGGUGACGGCGAAGCUAGGGCUACACUUCCUCCUCCCCAGCUCGCCGGCGUUGGGACCGGCGGUCCGGCGUGCGCGGCCUACUGCUAAGUUCUCCUAACAGACAAGUUAAGUCCAUCUCUCUCCUUGACAGCAAGUUCUACUCUUCGUGGUUGCUUGUAGUAUUAGGUGGUCAAUGAAGGAAAAAUUAAUAUGUGAGUGUUGCUUGAUUUACUUGAGCUGACUAUGUUCUGUUCACUUUUGAAAAAGAUAAUACUUGUUAACAUGCAGAGGAUUUGAUUUAGUAACUGAACACCAUGUGCAUGAGAACAAAAAGAUGCUGAUAAACUAGGGUGAAAUAUAUCCUAACAAUGUACUGCCAAGUAUCUAAGUGCUAAAUUCUAGUGAACAAGCAGAUGCACACAAGAGCAAACAAAAUAGUGAUUAAUCUAGCAAAGUGAUUAUGUGAUCUAAUUCUAAACAGUAGCAGGGUGAGGAUAUUAGUUUCUCUUAAGCAUUGUGUUUUACUCCUAAUCACUUAAUGUACUACUCAGACAUGCAUUUUAAUCCACAGUAAUGUGCCAGAAAUUUCAUUCAAGAGCCUGCAAAGGCAAAUUAAAGUGACAUUAUAUUUUACCUUCAAUACACAGCAGUAGCACACAACAGGAAGAAAUAGCAGCACACAACAGCAAGCAGCAGCAAUGGAGCCAGGUGAAGGAAAGUGUUCGGUGGAAAGGUGGUGAAAAGGUCACAGUAGAAAAAAAAGUACCCCCUAUUUAUAGGGCAUAUUGUACUGUGUACCAUGAUGACAGGUGUUGGAGAAAAAGGAUGCAUGGCGCACACGUGUGUGCUGGAAUGUGCCAAAUGGCAAGCACAAAAUGACAAAUGCCAUCCAUUCACUUGGGCCCACAAGAGGAUUUCAUGGCUGCUAAGAAAUUCUCCAAGGGCUGAAAUGUAAAAUUGAAAAUGACUUCUUUGAAAUUUUCGAAAUACUUGUUUGUAAUAAAGACUUUGUAUUAUUUUUGUGAUAUAUGGUGUUAGAAAUAUGUAAUUUGAGUUUUAGAAACCUAGGGUUUCACACGUUCCACGGCGGCUACAAGCGCCCGGGAACCAUGGCGGAGCUGCACACUGUGGUGCAGAAGCCGGGAGAGACGCUGCGGAGCUUCAUCAAUCGCUUCUCCAGUCUCUCCUACUCCAUCCCGGAGGCGGAGGCUGCUGCCAUCGUCAACACCUUCGCCAUCAACGUCCGUGACCCCAAGAUGCGGGAGAAGCUGAGCACGCACCAGAUCCGGACGACACAGGAUCUCUACGCCCUGGCGCACAAGUUUUCCAUGGCCGAGGAAGGGCGCUUGGCGCCCGAGCUCGUAGCUAAAGCUGCCGCGAGCCCAGCUGAGGGCUCGCCGAAGAAGAGCUCCCGGAAGAGUAGCGGGAAGCAAGUUCUCGCUGCGAAGUCGGGGGCUACCGCGAGGCCUGCGAAAAAGGCCUCAUCUGGUGGCGGGUCUGGCGGCAAGCCGGGCAACGCGCCCCGUUGCCCCAUCCACGCCAAUGCCACCCACGAUGCGCAGGAUUGCCGCAUCCUGCAGCACCUCAAGCAGAGGCGCGAGCAGUGCCACGAGGAGUGCCGAGCUGCCGGCGCCUGCUUCAAUUGCGCCGACAUCGAGCACCUCUCCUGGGAUUGCCCGAACAACCCCAGAGUGGGGCCCAAGCCUGCCGAUGGGGGCGCCGGCAGGGAGGAAGCCCAGGGAGGACGUGGCCAGGCCCGUGCCGGCAGGGAGCGCCCUCCCCGGGGACGAGACAAGGCUCGUGCUGAGGAGCAGCGUCAGUCUGAUUGACGUGCGGGUGACGAACCCGGCUUCCAGGAGCCUCGCAGCGUCGCCUGCAUCCAUGGGGGAGCUUACGCUCUCUCAUCUCACCCGCGGUGAAGCGCCUCACCCGGGAGGUGUGUGCACUGUUGUCGGAAGCGGAAGCGCGGCAGCCGCUGAAGUGGUUGCACGUGCCGAGCACCUUCAGCACCGACGAUCACUAAGCCCGGCAACUGGGUUCAGGGGUUCUAUCCUUCGUGGUCUCACCGAUCAUCAACAACGUGACGGUGACCAAAGUGCUGGUCGACAACGGAGCGGGGCUGAACCUCCUGUCCGCCAAGUUAAUGGAGAAACUUCAGUUGCCGCUGGAGCGGCUGAAGCCCACUGACCCGUUCCGGGGAGUGAACCCUGGGAUCGUGCACCCCUUGGGGCGCAUCACGCUGCUGGUUACCUUCGGCUCCCGGGAAGCGUUCAGGACCGAGCACCUGGUGUUCGACGUGGCGCACACCCCGUUGUCUUACAACGGGAUCCUUGGUGAAGCGACCGCUCCCGUACAGGGUUUGAUCUCUGUGCUUAUUGUGCUAGUCCCUGGAUCGACUCGCUAGCACACACAGUUUCAAGAUGUAAUAUCAAGAUACAAAGGUCAAAAGUAUAUUACAUCAUAUUGAUCCAGAAUUAAAUAGUACCUUACAUAUUGCAUAACCUCAUGGGUUAGCUCAAGAGAAAAUAAAAUCUUGCAGCGGAAGGCAGAAGAUACAGGAGUCCCAUAACAAUUCCACAGUCGAAACAUGUUGGAAUGUAAACUCGCAACCCUAUCAAAUCAUACCUCACUCUUCACCUGGUUCACCUGCAACAUUUAAACGUUGCAGCCACUAGGAAGACAAUACAUUGAAUGUAUUGGCAAGUUCACCAAAGGGUUAUAGCAGACCUAACAAGUAUAUGCAUUAUUUGGCAAGGUAGGGCUUUGGCUAUUUGCAUAAAAACAUCAAUGUUUCAUCCUAUCAUUUUUAAACAAAUAGUUUUAUCACUAUUGGACACGGGGUAGAAACACUCAUCCUCCUAUUAACCUAGAGCACAUUGAGUAGAUCAAGUGCUCCUACCCUGUUUGUUCAAACCAUUCAUUUUAUUUAAGAAAUUGGAAUGAGUGAGGCCUUCCUUACAGCCCCCAUAUCUAGUUGCUCAUAAUUGUCCGUCACUGGGGACAAGGCUAAGUACUUAGUUUGACACUCUCGAGAGGUUGUACACAUUCCCCACAGAAAUCGACGUGUCACUCCCUUGCUGUCGUCAGGGUAGAGUAGCAACGGCAUCGAUUACAGGAAUUUUCAGACCAUAAUAGCCCAGACCACCUGAGGGACCUACGUUCCCACCUACACGGUUAUAUCUGCACAAUCCCUCGAAUCCAGGAUCAUAUGUCUUACAUCCAUCCUGGCAGAGCCCAUAUUACCAUGUGGUUGUACUGGAAGCUACUAAACAGGAAAACUAGUCCAGUCUCUGAUACCCCAGGUGGCAUUCCACAUUUGCGACGCAAGCGCUCCCCGAAUCCACGGGAGAGAUGUCCAUGGACGAUCCAUCCCCGAAUCCACAGGGACUCGACUCAGAGGGACCCAUAGAAAUGGACCUGACGUCGCAUAACAUCUCAAAUCCUCAAAGCAGCCCACCCAGGACGGUUCGUUGGGGUUGUUUUGCCAAGUUUCUAAAAUGCUCCACGUCAUCUGAUUCAUGGUAGUUGAGAUUCCCUCCCACAUAUACUAACAUAGCAUAGCAUGUCAACUACUUGCGAUGGCAAUUGGUGGAAAUGAAAGAGAAUUCAUAGCUAGCAUAAAUACAAUAAUAGUCCUAUCCAUGCAACUAAUAAAAACAUGUAGUGCAUAGUAAAAUAAUAGGUGAAUAUCAAAGUGAACUUGCAUUUGCCACUGUACUUUGAGUUCAAACACUCGUCACAGUCACAGGGUUCGCUCUCCGAGAAAAACUAUACGAGACAAAUGAACAUACACAUACAUAAACACACAAUUCACAUCACGACAAAAGGAGGUAUGCUAUGAUGCAAUGCAAGCAUGUGACAUGACUUGGUUCGUUUUAUUUGGGUGAUCAACUGAUCCUAAGCAUUGGUAAUUAAAACAAAUUCAUUAGGGUUUUAAAGAAAAAGACAAAAACAAUUGAUUAAAACCCUAAAUUAUAGUUUCAUUAGCAUAAGCCAAAUAAUUUAAUUCAAAAUAUUUAUUUCUCUGUCCCAUUGGACAGAGGACAAUAAAAAAAAAAUUUGGGCAUAGGAGCUCUUUUGACGGGAUUGAGCUGCUAACAGAUUUUCCCGAAUGAUACGGCAUUGGUACUCAGCUUCUUGAAUCAAAUCUGGCCCGAAGAGUUGACGUUCACCUGCCUCGGUCCAGUUCAAGGGAGUGCGACAUUUGCGACCAUAGAGGAAAGUGAAUGGCGCCAUGCCCAGACUUGCUUGAUAGCUGUUGUUGUAAGAGAACUCCGCAAACGGCAGAGAUUCUUCCCAUUUCAUACCAAAGGAUAUGACACAAGCUCGAAGCAUGUCUUCAAGAGUCUGAGGAUGAAAAGCGGUGCUGAAUAGGAGAUUAGUGCCCAUUGCCUUCUGAAAGCUUUCCCAAAAUCUGGAUGUAAAGAUACUUCCAUGAUCGGAGCUUAUUUCAACUGGGACACCAUGGAGAGAGACAAUUCUGGCAGUGUACAAUUCUGCCAAUUGACUAGCUGAGAUUGUUUCUUUGACAGGAAAGAAGUGAGCGACUUUAGAAAGUCAGUCAAUCACCACAAAGAUUGCAUCAUUGCCCUUGCAAGAUUUCGGAAACCCAGUGAUGAAGUCCAUUUCAAUCUUCUCCCACUUCCAUGUUGGAACACUCAGGGGUUGAAGAAGACCAGUAGGCUUCUGAUGCUCUGCCUUAACACGGCGAAAUACAUCACAUUCAGACACAUAUCUAGCAAUGUGCUCUUUCGUUCCAGUCCCCCAAUAGCUCUUUCGGAUGUCUUGAUACAUCUUGGUAGAACCGGGAUGAAUAGCAAGAGGUGUGUCAUGGGUUUCUUUGAGAAUAGACUCUCUUAUGUCUUGAUUAUUAGGAACAACCAUGCGAUCAUCAAAGAACACCGUUCCUUUGUCAUCAAGUGAGAAUCUCUUAUCUUUGGGAUCUUUAGCUUUUAUCUGAUCAGAAACCUUCUUGACCAAAUCAUCAAGGAGCUGAGCUUUACGAAUUCUGUCUUCCAAGGAUGAAACAGAAGUGACAACUAGAUUUGCAAGAUAACCUUUUGGAACAAGCUUGAGGUUAAGAUUCUUGAGGUCCUCACAAAGAUCAGGAGGUAAUUCCGUGACUGUGAGAGAUUUGCAAUCAGAUUUGCGACUAAGGGCAUCGGCCAUAACAUUAGCUUUGCCUGGAGUGUAAUUAAUCGACAGAUUGUAUUCUAAGAUGAACUCCAUCAAUCGUCGCUAUCUGAGAUUGAGAUCAGGUUGGGUGAAGAUGUACUUGCGGCUCUUGUGAUCUGUAAAGAUCUCACAAGGUACACCAGCAAGAUAAUGCCUCCAUGUUUUGUUUGCAAAAACAACUGUAGCGAGUUCAAGAUCAUGCGUGGGAUAGUUGAGUUCAUUUGGAUGAAGUUGGUGAGACGCAUAUGCCACAACUUUCCCAUCUUGGAAAAGGACAGCACCUAGACCUUGGCGAGAUGCAUCGCAAUAGAUUUGAAAAGGUUGAGUAGUAUCUGGAGGAGCCAAAAUAGGAGGUGUAGUGAGUUUUUCCUUCAAAAGUUUAAAGCCCUCUUCGCACUGAGAGGUCCAAACAAACUUCUUGUCUUUCUUGAGAAGGUCGGUCAAAGGCUUGGCAAUUUUGGAGAAAUUGGGGACGAAACGUCGGCAGUAACUUGCCAAACCAAGGAAACUCCAGAUUUGCUUUGCAUUCUUGGAUUGAGACCACCCAACAAUGUCCUGAAUUCGUUCCAUAUUGACAGCAAUUCCCUUUGCUGAGAUGACGUGACCAAGAUAAUUGACUUCUGGAAGCCAGAACUCACACUUGGAGAACUUAGCAUAGAGUCUAUUUUCACAAAGUUUGGAAAGGAUGAGGCGAAGAUGUUCUUAAUGUUCUUCCUCGGAUUUAGAAUAGACAAGAAUGUCGUCCAAGUAGACCACAACGAACUUGUCCAGAUAUUCCAUGAAAAUAGAAUUCAUUAGAGGAGAGAAGGCAGCUGGAGCAUUGGUGAGGCCAAAAGACAUGACUUGUACUCGUAAAGACCAUAACGAGUAGUGAAACCGGUCUUUGGAAUGUCCUCCUUCCGGAUUUUGAUUUGAUGAUACCCUAAGCGUAGAUCAAGUUUUUAGAAAACUGCGGCUCCGGCUGGUUGGUCAAACAGAUCGUUGAUCCUAGGAAGUGGGUACUUGUUCUUGAUUGUAUGUUGAUUAAGAGGACGGCAAUCAACACACAGACGUUCGGUUUUAUCCUUCUUCUGCACAAACAGAGUGGGACAACCCCAACGAGAGGAGCUUGGACGGAUGUAUCCUUUCUUCUUCAAGUCUUCAAGUUGUCUUUUAAGUUCCGCCAACUCUGGUGGAGACAUCUUGUAAGGACGCCUAUGAACAGGAGCAGUUCCUGGUUCGAGUUCGAUCAAAAACUCAACCGCUCUGUCGGGAGGCAUGCCUGGUAAGUCUUCAGGAAAAACAUCCGGGAAUUCGCAAACCACCUUAACAGAUUCCAAAGUUGGAAGUGGCUUUGCGUCUAGAGAGUAGAGCUGGGUGUUUGUGGCCUUAGAAGAGUGGAAAGUGACUAUCUGGCCAGUGGAAUGUGUUAGAAUGAUAGACUUAGCAGCACAGUCUAUCAAAGCUUGAUGAGGUUUAAGCCAAUCCAUCCCUAGAAUGACAUCAAUGUCAGAGGGUCCGAGGGCUAGGAGGUCGGCGAAGAAAACAAGAUUGUCGAUUUGGAUUCGAGUGCCACGACUUAUCUUAAUUGACCUAGACUGGAACCCAGGGGUUUGGAUUAGAACAGGGUUAAGCAAGGUGUCUUGUUGCAAGUCAAUUGCUCGUGCAAAGGAGUGCGAAACAAAAGAAUGUGAUGCUCCCGUGUCAAAUAAUACUUUAGCAAGAACAGAAUUAACAUGCAAAUUACCGAUGACAAGGUCGGUAGCUUCCUCUGCUUGCUCAGCAUUAACAUGAUUGACACGGGCACGGUUGGCAUUAGACUUGUUGUUGUCAUAAGAGCUUUGCUGAUUACCCUGAGCGGGAACCAUCGCCUGGCUUGAAGGAGGGCGAGGUGCUGUCUGAAUCUGAGUCAGAGGGCAGUGAGUAGCAAUGUGGCCUGGCUGUUUGCACUUGUAACAGACUCUGGUGUCACUGUUCUGAUUCUCAGGUCUUUGCUUCCCAUUGUAGCUCUUGAGAGAGACAGCCUGAGAGGGUGGGCGGGAACCUUGACCACCAUGCCUCUAACCAUAUGCUGGACGGAGAGUCGCGUUGUUGGGAACCCACAACCUCCGUUUUUGAGAACCAACAUUGUUGUUGCCUGAGGAAGAAGACCCAGUAUCACGAGAGUGUUUGCGAGAAUCCUCAAACUGUGCACGGCCAUACUCAGCUUGCAGACCAGUAUUGACCAAGUCUUCAAAAGAAUUGCACGUGAUGAAAUUGAGAGCAUACUUCAGCGAUGGACUGAGACCCUUGCGAAACCUUUCUUGUUUCUUCAAGUCGGUAGAGAUCUCAUCGCCAGCAUAGCGAGCAAGAUGGUUGAAAUCCUUGCAGUAUUCGAGAACAGAACUCUUGCCCUGAGUCAGACUGCAGAAUUCCUCAAGCUUUCUGUCCAUCAGACCAGCUGGGAUGUGGUGAUUUAGGAAAGCGUCCUGGAAGUCAAACCAAGUGAUGACUUCAUCAAGGUGCUUGGAGGCUUGGAAAUUCUCCCGCCAUGCGGCUGCUUCACCUCGGAGGAGGUAGGUCGCAAAAGGAACCUUGUCCUCAUUUGCCACACGAACCGUGCAAAGAGUGCGGACCAUCUCACGAAGCCAGUCAUCAGCAUCAAGUGGUUCUGAUGGUAGAGAGAAAGUCCUUGGAUUGAGAGCAAGGAAAUCCUUGAUGGAAUUCCUGCCAUUAGCCCCAUUGUUUGCAUUGUUGCCCUGAUUGUUGUGCUGGUCAUUCAUACGCUCAAGGAUUUGUCCCAUCUGAAGCAGUAUGUUGCCUAACUCAGGCGGAGGAGGAGGAUCACGACGAACAGGUGCCAUCCUGUUUGCACAAUGGUUUACACAACAGUUGAAACAUAAUGCAUGACGUAAAGCCUCAAAGACAGGAUUUCGUGACACAAGGAUAACAUGAAGUCUGAGAUAUCACAUAGUGCCAUCCAAAGAUUUUGUGAUUACAAUCAUCCAAAACAAAGGAAAGAUUACACUACUCAUCUUGCCAUUCACAACGCACAGGAAGUGUGGCCACAGAUGGGACUACGGAUACAAGAGAUCUAUCUUGACAAAGCUGUCAAAACCUCGGCAGUAGCUGCGGAGAGUGCGGAAACACAUACGCAUCUGCCUUCUGUUCCCCGUACAGGAACUGACGCGGAAAGUAUGUACUCUCGAACACUCUUGGUGGCCCACGUGCUGGAGUAAACCCAUCCUCUAGGAAUGCAUGGAUCAUCUCAGGAGCAGGAGGUCUCGGAGGAGAGCGAACUUCAUUCUCGUACAUUCCUGCAUCAACCACGGCGGAGAGGUGACCGAGUGCUAUCCACAGCUGCUUGCAGUAGUGCUCGACCUCAGCGCGCAUAUUUGCCAUCAAGUGCUCCUGGCUUGACACGAAGUUGCAGAUCAUAGCUGUCAUUCGCAACCUUCUUGUCGGGCAAGCCUGGAAGUGUGAAGAACUUGUUCUCGCAUGUGAUGAAGCCCCUUGGGAUAUACUUGAACGGUCCUUUGUCCAGCCUUUCGUACUUCCUGCCGAGUAGGGUCAUGCACAUGUACGCCACCUGUUGGAUUGCCAACUCGAUGGUAUGCCCAGUUCCCACUGCUUUGUGCACCGGAAACUUUUCUGACGGCACGUCUUGGUGGAGGCAGACAACGGCACGGUAGUACUCCUGGUUGAAGUCACGAUAAUCCUCGAAUUCGUGUACUCCGGCUGUAUCGGAACCGAUUUGCCUCAUGAUCUCACGGAGCACCUCAGGAAAACCUUGGGUUGUCUCACAGUUGGACAUCAAGACCACCUGUGGACGAGGAGUGUAGAGCGACAUCUAAAAGAAAGUGAUUGCAGGAUUAGAACUUUGGAAGAACUAGCUUUAUCUAUGCACUAUAGAUAUGAGCUAAACAAGAAGGAAUGGUCUUUUCUCUGACGAUGAAAACCACAAAAGAACUUGAAUGCCACCAACUAAAAGGAACUACGGAAAACAAAUCCCGGGAUAUCUAGUUUACAAACCGAGGAAAGAGGGAAUUUUCCAAAACAAGAAGGGUGGGUGGGUGGGAAAAGAAGAAAAAUCAGAGUCUACUUUUCCAUUUUCAAAUAGUUUAGAGAUUAAAAUAGUUACUAGACUCAACUUCGACCAUUUCUAACCAGGGAGAAACCUAAGGGCAGUGAGGCUUUGAUACCAAGUUGUGAAACCCCGAGACCGAAUUUAUGCAAUUUAGCCCCAAAUGCUAACUCGCGCAUAAAUUAAGCCCCAGUGCCUCCCUACGAUGAACACUUCACAACAUACACGCAAUGUCGUCGCACUGGGCUCUGACACCGGGGGCGUGCGGCCACGGCCCCUUUUUAGGUUCGGCAGGGGCGUCGGGGAUCGCUCCGGCGAUCGACGGUGCGGCCGAAGGGCCUACGUAACCUGCAAAGUGAUAUACCCACGGUACGCACAAGCCAAGAACGCAUGCACGCACGUUUUUACCUAGGUUCGGGCCACCCGGAGGUGUAAAACCCUACGUCCUGCCUGUCUGAACUGGUAUUGACAAUAGGUCAAGUGUUUACACGUUGCCGGGGGAGGGUCCCCGGACGCUCUCUCCUUUCUUGCUAAGUGCUACUUGCUCUUCCUGGACUAAGACUAGUCGGAAACCUCACCGAACAGAACCCGAACCCUUUGAUCGCCGGCGGGGGUCCUCCUUUUAUACUCAAGGGGAUACCACAGGUGCCGCGGCGCAUGCAUUACAAGUGUCGAUCAGGGAGACAUGCCACUCCCCCUCAGUGAGCUGGUGGCAUGCAUGGACGCCACCUCCGCUGCUAGGGGUCUAAAACCCUAAGGGUAGGAUUGGACAGCCACUGUUCACCUGAUUUGGAUGGAAAACGCCCCUCCUGUCGACUCAUUUAAUGCACCGUGCGCCUCACUCCUCGCCUUGGUGAGACUGCGCAUCCGGCGCCCGCCACGCGCCCGUGUGGCGUUCUUGCUCUGUCCGUCAGGCCCCACCCUUGUGGCGGACGCCUGCGCCCGGGAACUCCCCCUCCCGGCAAGUCGCACCCUGGGAAGUGCCCCGGCAAACACACCCGGGAACCCCCCUCCCGAGAAGCGGCUUCCCGGGAGGUGUCCGGGUGGGGAUAUUUCCCGAAGCCCCGCUAGCCCUUCCGGGCUGGUAGCUUGCCGAGCAGCUUGUGGCUGCUGCCCGGGACGGAAUCCUCCCGGGAACUCGGAGACGGGGCCCACGCGUCGCGCAACGGUGGUACCCCGGGAGCCACUGGUGCGACACUAGCCCCCGGGCGUGGGCCAGCAUCGCCUGUUCCCGGGCGAGCCUUUCCCAAGUCGGUUGCCGGGCUACGCCCACAACCGACGCGUGGGCCCCGAUUAGCCUCGGGCCCGCGUCCCUUCGCUGCCCCUAGUACCACGCCGUUACACAUGGAGUAUUGGGCGCGUGAUUUCCGCCCUAGCUCCCCCUUUAAACGGGGAAGUUAAGGCCACUCCGCGCAUUACUCCUUAUGAUUAGGAGUUAUCCCCGCGCACCCGUAGGGUACGGAACCGGCCGUUACCAAACGGCCGGGUGCUAUAAAGAUUUUACCGCUGCCCAAAAGGGGAAAGCACUCUAUUCCCCACAGCCUUCGUCAUCCUCCUUCGCAUCUCGCACCCAAGUGUUCUUGCUAGCUUCCACCUUCGUCCCCCAUGGCGCCCCCCACCACCAGGAAGGGAAAGGAGGUGCAGGUCUCAAAAAAAGCGGUGGCCAGAAAGAGCGAGGCGGCAACCAAGGCAGCCGCCGGGAAAGACCAGAAGAAGUGGGAGAUGCGGGCCACGCUUGCCUUCUACCGCCCUGGUUACAACGGCGCGGCGCGGGACAAGGUCCGGCAUGCCGUCGCCUCCAAGUUCAACGAGCACGGGGAGACCCUGAUCUUCCCGGCGGGCGCCGAGCACCAGGACAACGACUUCCGGGUGUUCGCGCGCUUCCUCCUCACCGGACUGGUGCCGCCAUUCUCGCUGUUCCUCCAUGCACUGAUGGAGUCGUACCAGCUGCGGGUGGCACAGCUCCACCCCACGUCGCUGUUCCUCCUCGCCACCUUCCAAUUCCUCUGCGAAGCGUUCGUGGGGGUGAUGCCGUUGGUAGGGCUCUUCCGCCACUAUUUCUACCCCCGGAUUGACAAUGCGAAGGCGAUGUCGUCGGGGGUGGUGUUCUGCGCCCGCGACCAGAUGAAGUCUGAGUUCAUCGUCCGGUAGCUGACUAAAGCUAUGCAAUCCUAGAGGCAUCGUGCCAAGAACUGAGAACGUAACUUAAUGCAAGAACGAGAGAGAGAGGCAUUGGGUAUAAUCAACAUGUUCAAGGAAUGGCUGCUUGCCUGGAUUUUCGGUCGCUGGGCACCGAGAGAGGGGAUCCGAAGAAGUGUGGGAACCCGGAUCGUCGGCAGAGUAGGUCGGAGUCGCUAUCGUAAAGAACCAAAUCACACAAUAUGCAAAUAAGUAACAAUCCAUAGGUGCAAUGCACAAUACAACAUGAGGUGGCAUGUGACAUCAUGAUGCAACAAUAUGCAAGUGAAAUAAUUCCAAUAGCAACAAGGUUAACCAUUAGGUGAUUUGAAAAAGAAAACAACAGCUUUAAAUGACUCAAAUGGCCUAACCAAGUAUUCUACUGUGUUCUACAAGUUACAGGGAAUAAUUCACAUUUUUACAGAAGGUUCAAAAUCAUUACCAAUUUUAAACUAGGAGCUACAAAAUUCUUAUGUUUUAAUUUCAAAUCUGGGACACAUUUGAAAUUUCAAACCUCAAAAUGUAAAUCAAAUUGCACAGUUAAAUUCCUUGCAUUUUUCUGAUUCCAAAACAUAUAUGGUUUGCUCAAUUUGGAUUUAGCAUGCAAUUACUAUGAAUUAAACAAGAUGUAAGCAUUUCUGGAAUUUUAAAACAAAAGAAAACACAUAGAGAACUAAAUCUACUCGGGCGCAGCGAGCCUGUGCGGCUAACAGCGGGCCCGGGAGAGCUGACGAGGCGGUCGCGCUGCGCUGGCUGCCCGCGGUCACUGACUAACGGGCCCCACCUGUCAGGGUCGGUCAAAAAGGUAAAAAGGUUGGUUUUUACCUUGCAGCCAAGGAAGAUCGAACCCGGGUCGGAACGGACCAGAGCGAACGGACGAGCGAGGUAACCAGACGGGCUGCGGAUCGGAUCUUGCUAGAUCUAGGGCGCAAACCCUCUUAAACUAAAGAGGAACGCCGGUGGCUCACGGGCGCGCGCGGCGGCCCUGGCAGCGACUCGUCGGCGGCGACCACGCGGCACAGCGGAGCACAAGGCGAUGCCUUUUCUCGUUCCAAGUUCGACGGGGAGCAAGUUGCCUUAAAGGACAACACAGAACCUCCGCUGGAGCGCCGGCGCGGCAUGGAGCAGAGCUCGCCGGCGGCGGGUCCAGGGCACGUCGCGGCAACCUAGGGCUACGGUGAACUAAAAAGGAAGAGGAGGGUUGGAACGGUUGCGCAAGGACGAGGCGAAGCUCACCGAGCAGGCUGUCGUCGGUGAGGAGGAAGGAGCUCGCCAGAAUUUGAAGAAGAGUCGUCGGCGGCCAGAGUGGAAGAAGAGGAGCUAGGCGACGAUGUAGGCGAUCUCCAGUCGAUUCCUCGCGUCCAGACGAAGAGCAGCUCUGGGUGAACAAGGUGACGCGCGCGGUUGUUCUUGGUUCUGGCUGGAACGGCGGCUCGUCGGAGUAGCGCUCGCGGCCGAAGGAAACGAGGGCGACGGCGGUGCGCAGAAAGGGAAGAAGAAACCCUGGCUAGGGUUUCCUGCUGACGGCGUGGGUACGAGGAGGAGGCCGUCACGUCGCUGUCGCGACGUCGGGGCGCGCGGGACUCACCGGCCAGGAGGAAGAAAAGUAGAGGAGGAAGAAAGCUCUAUGAGAGAACGCGUACUUCGCGGAAUACGCCUUCAACGCGGGGAAGCGCAAUCCGGGCGGGGCACGGUGGAGUUGGGCUGCGGCCUGCGCUGCUGGGCCGACUCGGGCCGAAAGGUAAGCAGGUAGGUUUUUCCUUUUCUAUUUCCUUUUUCUAUUUUGCAAAUAGUUUUUGGAUUCAAAUUUCAAAUAUCAUUUUGAAAAGCUGAGACGUAGGAGAAUUCAAAUAUGGCACUACUAUUUGUAAAUAUUCAAAUGGGGUUAAAGGUUUUAAAACAAAACCCAUUUGAAUGACAUUUGUAAAAUAGAGGAAAAGGAAUUCAAACUCAAAGAAGGAAGAUUCAUAUUUGAAUCUUCUAGCAAAUUCAAACAACAAGAUUUCAAACCACAAGUUAAAAUGUAAUUUCCAAAUUUUAUGUGAAACAAAGAACUGAUGACAUGGCAUGGAUGCAAAUGUAAAAUGUUAUGCAACAAGAAUUAAAUUACAAACAGGUCCACACAAGGGCUUAAAUGUAAAUGUUGCUCUUGGGCUGUUACAAUUCUCCCCCGCUAAAAGGAAUCGCGUCCCGAGAUUCUCAAGGAUCCGCAAGAAAGGUAGGGUAAUCCUUGCAUAACUGAUCUUCACGCGCUCCCAUGUUUCUUCUUUGUCAGAGUGAUGAGACCAAAGGAUCUUGUAGAAUUUGUGAGUUUUGUUGCGAGUGCGACAUUCUUUCACAUCGAGACCAAAGCCAGGAGCGAGCGGGAACAACAGCGGCGCCACGUGGCGCCUUAGCGGGCACGCCAUGCGCAGGUUUCGUCAGGACGAGGAGUGAAGCACACGCCAGCAUUUAAUGCUCCGACCAAAAGGGGAUUCCCUAUCCGUUCAGCCAACAGUGACCCGCCUGGGGUAAAUUUCAGGUGCCUAGACCCCUAGCUGCAGGGCUACCUGGUUUGCAUUUAAGCCAGCGCACCGAGGGGGAGCUUCCCUGGCUCCCUGCUCGCCAUUUGUCACCCAUGCACCGUGGCACCUGUGGCAUCCCCUUCAGUAUAAAAGGAGGACCCCCGCCAAUGGUCAAAGUGUGGUUGUUGGACCAGUUCUGAGUUCACUACUAGCAAUAGCCCAAAGUAGCAAACGGUACUUAGCCGAAAAGAGAGAGCACUCGGGGACUCCCCCCGGCAACCUGUAAACCCCUAGUUCUUUGGCUAAUAAAAAACUCAGAAGCAGGACGUAGGGUUUUACACCUCAGGGUUGCCCAAACCUGAGUAAAAAGUGUUCUGGUGUUCAUCGUGCUCAUACGCUUCGCAUUGGCCCACUGCCGAACCUAAAAGGGGGUGCUCACAUAUCCCCGGUGUCGAAUCCCCGUGGUCCGACAGGAGGCGCCUACGCGGGAUUUCUCCCGCUGCCCUUCUAGGCAACCCCCGCAGCCCGGCGAGCCCUGCCGGGCUGGCGACUUGCCGGGCAGCUUGUGCGGAGCUGCCCGGGGUGCGAUCCUCCCGGGGGGCAAGCGAGGUGGCCCACGCGUCACGCAACGGCGGUACCCUAGGUGCCACUGGUGCGACAGUAGCCCCGUGCGUGGGCCGGCAACGCCUAUUCCCGGGUAGAACCUUCCCUGGUCAGUUGCCGGGUUACGCCCUCAACCGACGCGUGGGUCCCGAGCCGCUUCGGGCCCCUACUUAUGCACUGCUUCAAGGGCUCUGCCAUUACGCGCAGAGUAGUGGGCUCGAGAUUUCUGCCUUAACCUCCCCAUUAUACACGGGUGGUUAAGACCACGCCCUGCGUUAUCCCCUCUUAGGGCGUAAUUACCCCAGCGCACCCGUAGGGUGCGGACACGACCGUUGCUCGGCGCCGGGGCACUAUAAGACCCCGCCGUUGCGCUAGGGAGCGAACACUUAGUGUGGCGACCCAGACCCGUAAGGAUCCGGACCUCUGUGUAAACUGUGCUAGUCCCUGGAUCAAAUGCUAGCACACACAGUUUCAUUGAUGAAAUACCAUACAUGUCUAUUACAUCGGUUCGAAUAACAAAUCCAGAGUACUUAAUACAAGCCAAGCGGAAGUUCAAAUAAAACACACUGAUAAAGAGGGAGUCCCAUCAACGCCACAGGCAAGUUGAGUGUAGACUCGCGACCCUACGCCUUCUUCUUAAGCGUCACUCUCUGCACAUGAUAGGUGCAGAUCAGUACAUUGAAUGUACUUGCAAGUCACACCUGUGUGGUUAGGAGAAAUGCAUUGAAAUGAUGAAGGAUUUCCUAGUUUGGCUGCUAGGGUUGUUUUUGCAAAAUGCUGCUUUUGGGGUCUCGAACUACUCAUAAUAUUUUCCUUUGGAAAUAUCUAUCCUGAAGUUUUGAUAAAACAGGGUUUGAACAAUAGUAUGGUCAUUCUGUGGAUGUUCACUCCACGACCUAGCUAUGCAUGGAAAUGAUAAAGGAUUUCCUAGUUUGGCUACUAGUGUUGUGUUUGCAAAAUGCUAUUUUUUUUGGGGGGGUUUCGAAAUACUCAUAGUAUUUUCCUUUGAAAAUCUCUAUCCUAGAGUUUUGGUAAAACAGGGUUUGAUCAAUAGUAUGGUCAUUCUGUGGAUGUUCACUCCACGACCUAGCUAUGCACUCUGGGUCAACUGACACUCUCAUAGCAUCCCUUUUUCCCUGACUCAUUCUGUGGAACCUUCCAUCGAGUCAAACAGUUUUGGGGUUUUCGAAAACAAAACUUGAAGAUCUCCACUUCUCCUGACUUAAUGACUCAAAGUCGCCCGUAACCAGGGGCAUGGCUAAUCGAUUAGAUUGACACUCUCGAGAGGUUUGUACACUUUAUCCACUUGACACAAUCAGUCCAAAGUGUUGCCUGACGACAAGCGUGCGCAACAGGUAAAGAUUGUGACGAAGUCUUUCACUAGAAGCCCCCUGAUACCUAAUUCUGGCACCGCCCGCCCCAUAUGAGCACAUUGGCUCCUCUUCGGAUGGCAAUAGCCAGGAAAGGGUUUCCCGCUAGUUAGUCGACCAAGCCAGAGCCCAUAAUAGCAAGUGGUUGCACAUGAAGCGUUUGGGUACAUGAGAAGGUUUGAACUCUUGGAUUUCUGGACAGCGGUCCCCACCUUCUCCUGAUCGUGUACCCGUUACGGGGCUACAACACUUGCCGACAGCAAACUGGCCUCCAUCAUACCACGCCAUCCAGAUAAAACAUUUUGGUUUUAUUUCGAAAACAUUUUUCCAAAAACAUACUCGCUCAUAAAGAGCACUUAAUACUUUGCAAUAUAGUUUGGGUCCCGUCCCGUUAUAAUAGUAUAGCAUGCUUUGGAAAAAUGUAUAUACAUAACCUAUGGUAUUUGGUGGCAUGGCAAUAAAUCCUAUAAGCAAUCUACUAGGAAUAACUAAACAUGUUGAAAACGCAUUUGAUAAAUACUUCAUAAAGAAAUAACUCUAAUAUGCAUCCCUAUGAUGUUGUAAACAAAAUAGCAUAAGCAAAAAUAUAGGUUCUACAUGGUCAAUAAGUGUAGCUUGCCUGGAUCAGAGAAGUUGUUGCGGUCGUCAACUCCUUGGCACUCUUCGCAAUCGCAAUCCGAAUAAUCUAACGCGUAGAACGAAACGACAAUAAAUGCAUAGUUUCAAACAUCUCUCAAAAUCCAAAUAUAACUACAAAUGAACUUUGGAUAAAGGAUGUAUCACAAGCAUACAAAAUAGAACCUAAACUUCAUCUAAGUAAUACCAUAGUAUUAACAAUUCAAGUUCUAAAGCCUAAGGUUAAGGCUAGUGUGGCUAAGUCUGAAAAUUCAGAAAUCGGCUACUGUUAACAGAUAGCAACUAGGAUUGACGGGUAAUAGGUGCUAAAGUACAGAACAUGACAUGAAAACUAUGCUACAGUAUAGUUCUAAGGUUGUACUAACUAACGCAACAUGUUUCAGGUUAAUUGGAUAAACAGAUCAGAAGGUACUGGCUUGCAAAGGUGGCUAGUCAGAUUCUGACAGACAAAGAAUACUAACUUCUACUGAAAAGCUAAUGGUGCUAAACUAUUCCUGUGGCGACCCAGACCCGUAAGGAUCCGGACCUCUGUGUAAACUGUGCUAGUCCCUGGAUCAAUUGCUAGCACACAUAGUUCCAUUGGUGAAAUACCAUACACAUGUCUAUUACAUCGGUUCCAUUAACAAAUCCAGAUUACUUAAUACAAGCCAAGCGGAAGUUCAAAUAAAACACACUGAUAAAGAGGGAGUCCCAUCAACGCCACAGGCAAGUUGAGUGUAGACUCGCGACCCUGCGUCUUCUUCUUAAGCGUCACUCUCUGCACAUGAUAGGUGCAGGUCAGUACAUUGAAUGUACUUGCAAGUCACACAUGUGGGGUUAGGAGGAAUGCAUGGAAAUGAUGAAGGAUUUCCUAGUUUGGCUACUAGUGUUGUGUUUGCAAAAUGCUAUUUUUUUUGGGGGUUUCGAAAUACUCAUAGUAUUUUCCUUUGAAAAUCUCUAUCCUAGAGUUUUGGUAAAACAGGGUUUGAUCAAUAGUAUGGUCAUUCUGUGGAUGUUCACUCCACGACCUAGCUAUGCACUCUGGGUCAACUGACACUCUCAUAGCAUCCCUUUUUCCCUGACUCAUUCUGUGGAACCUUCCAUCGAGUCAAACAGUUUUGGGGUUUUGGAAAACAAAACUUGAAGAUCUCCACUUCUUCUGACUUAAUGACUCAAAGUCGCCCGUAACCAGGGGCAUGGCUAAUCGAUUAGAUUGACACUCUCGAGAGGUUUGUACACUUUAUCCACUUGACACAAUCAGUCCAAAGUGUUGCCUGACGACAAGCGUGCACAACAGGUAAAGAUUGUGACGAAGUCUUUCACUAGAAGCCCCCUGAUACCUAAUUCUGGCACCGCCCGCCCCAUAUGAGCAAAUUGGCUCCUCUCUGGAUGGUGAUACCCAGGUAAGGAUUUCCCGCUAGUUAGUCGACCAAGCCAGAGCCCAUAAUAGCAAGUGGUUGCACAUGAAGCGUUUGGGUACAUGAGAAGGUUUGAACUCUUGGAUUUCUGGACAGCGGUCCCCACCUUCUCCUGAGCGUGUACCCGUUACGGGGCUACAACACUUGCCGACAGCCAACUGGCCUCCAUCAUACCACUCCAUCCAGAUAAAACAUUUUGGUUUUAUUUCGAAAACAUUUUUCCAAAAACAUACUCCCUGGCACUCUUCGCAAUCGCAAUCCGAAUAAUCUAACGCGAAGAACGAAACAACAAUAAAUGCAUAGUUCCAAACAUCUCUCAAAGGCCUAAUAUAACUCCAAAUGAACUUCGGAUAAAGGAUAUAUCACAAGCAUACAAAAACAGAACCUAAACAUCAUCUAAGUAAUACCAUAGUAUUAACAAUUCCAGUUCUAAAGCCUAAGGUUAAGGCUAGUGUGGCUAAGUCUGGAAAUUCAGAAAUCUGCUACUGUUAACAGAUAUCAACUAGGAUUGACAGGUAAUAGGUGCUAAAGUACAGAACAUGGCAUGAAACAUAUGCUAAAGUAUAGUUCUAGGGUUGUACUAACUAACGCAACAGGUUUCAGCUCAAUUGGAUAAACAGGUCAAAAGUUACUGGCUUGCAAAGGUGGCUAGUCAGAUUCUGACAGACAAAGAAUACUAACUUCUACUGAAAAGCUACUGGUGCUAAACUAUUCCAAUGACAGAGAACUAAAAAAAUAAAUCCAAGAAUAUGAUCUAUUCUUUCAAAUGGCACUGGUUUCACUAACUAUGGAGCUAUGAGGCAGUAGCUAUGAACAGGUGAAUGUGGCUACUCUAAAACAGAACAUAAUACGAUAUGAAAUUCUACCGUCGUGCUGCUAGUGAAGGUGAAGUUGAAAUGGUCCAACUAGGAAAUGGCUGUGAAGGGAUGUUCCUAAAGUUCAAUCUACAAAAAGAAACAACUAAAAUGAUGCUACGGACAACAACGAGAACUACUGCGAAUAAGGCUACCCACUAAGGAAGGUGCUGCAACUUUCUGCCGCGGCAGAGAUACGGCAGAGAAACUGAUUAGAAUACCAUUUUGCGACGAUGAUGCAAAGCACUAGAUGAACCAUGUACGGCUACUUUAUACAAAGAAUUUGUAGAGGAACAUUCACUCUACAAAAUGGUGAAAUCUAGAGCACAUAAUGAUCAUUGGUUUGAUUGCAAACGAUGCCUAAACAGAGCUAACCGAAGAACAACAGCUGCAGUGAACUUGAACAAGUUCAUACCCAAAUCUUCCCGGAGAUGAACGAUUCGACGAAUCGAAGCGCGGGAAGGAAGAAGAAGGGUUGGAGGAGAUUCACGGCGUCGCAGGGAGUCCAACGGUGCAAGCGGCUUCGCAAAUCGUUCGGCGAAUCUCCGGCGAUUGCUCGCCGGAGUUGGGCGGCGAAGGCGGCGGUUUUGGGCAUGGGGAGCGGCGCUCGGGCAGGCGAGGUGGCCGGCGGUUGCGCGGGCGUGGGGUCGGGGGCGCGGGGCGUGCGGCGGCGGCGUGGUCGCUGGCGCGCGCGACCGCGGGCGGGCGGCUGGCGCGGGCAGGCGGGCGCGGGCGGCGGUGGGCGCGGGCGCCGAGCGGGGGCGGUGCGGCUUUGGGCGGCGGCGGUUGCGCGGGCGAGCGGGCAGGCCGCGGCGGCGGGCCGUGGGUGGCGGCGGAGGUGAGGCAUGACAGGUGGGCCCCACCUGCGAAGAAUGCGUAUUUUCAGAAAAAAAAGAAAAAGAAUAAAAGAAAACGAUUAUAAAAUACUUUUCAGGAUCUAUAAUUCACCCGAAAUUCCAUUUAAACCAUUUAAAAUAUCAAAUGGCUUCAGAAAAAUUCCCAAAAAUUCUGUAAAAUAAUAUAUUUCAUUUAGAGUCCAGGAAAAUUAUUCCCACUCAGAAAUAAAUUUGUAAAAAUAGUUUUAAUGUUUCUAAGCUUUAUAUAAACCUAAAUAAAAUCCUAAAAUGCGUUUUGGAACUCUAGAAAAUUCUCAAAUCAAUUUCUAUCAACCUAACACAUUCCAAAAUACCAUUUCAAACACUUUCAAUAAUGCAUCAUAACGAACACCAAUAUUUUAAGAUAUGAUCAAGGUGAUAUGCAUAAGAAAAUGUAAAGGUGCGAACAUCCGAAUUUGAAAAUUUUGGGAUGUUACACUUAGCCCCCCAGCUUUUCCAUUCGUCUCCAAUUCCUCGCGCCCCUGCCUCCGGCCAGCUUUCGCCCACACCUCUCAUGGCGCCCCCCGCUCCCAAGAAAGGGCAAGGCUCCAAGAGGCCUGCAACCGGCAGGAGCGAGACGGCUUCCCAGAAGCCCAUCUCAGAUAAGGAUCAAAAGAGGAGGGAGCUGAGGGCCUUGUGCGCCUACUUCCGGCCACGCUACAACGGCGAGGCGCUGGACAAGGUCAGGCACGCCGUCGCCUCGCACUUCAACGAGUACGGGGAGACCCUCAUUUUCCCCGCCGGCGCCGACCACCAGGAAAACAACUUUCGGGUGUUUGCGUGCUUCGUCCUUGCCGGGUUGGUGCCUCGGUACUCCUUGUUCCUCCAUGCGCUCAUGGAGGCGUACCAGCUCCGGGUGGCGCAGCGCCACCCCACCUCCCUCUUUCUCCUCGCGGUCUUCCAGUUCCUCUGCGAGGCGUUCGUCGGAGUAAUGCCGUCUGUGGCGUUAAUCCACCACCACUUCUACCGACGCAUCGAGCAAGCGAGGGCGAUGUCAUCGGGGGUGGUGUUCCGCGCCUGCGACCGGAUGAAAUCAGAGUUCAUCGUCCGGUCGGAGAAAAAGAAAGAGAAGGAGUGGCGGGCGGACUGGUGCUGGGUCCGCGUGGAGGAACCCGAAGGGUUCAUCUUCACGCCCACCGAGCUGCCGGUGCCCAACGACACUUGGCGGAACCGCUACCACCGUGACGCCGAGAUCCUUCCCAUCGUCGCGAAGAUCAAGGCACUGCGGCUAGCAGGGCUCACCGAUCUCGACGUGGCGCGCGCCUCCAUAAGCCGGCGCAUCGCGCCGCUACAGCUUCGCUCCCACCCCGCGUGGAUGUACACGGGGUCCGGGGACAAGACACGCCUACAGCACGGGGGCUUGGACCGGGAGGCCAUCCAGGCGGGGGUGAAGGGGAUCACCGGCGAGGACGUCCCCGCCACGGAGCUGCCGCCGGGGGGUUUCUCCCUCCACGCCGGGGUUCCGGGGCUGCACGAUAUCAUUACCGCCUACCCGCCCUGCAACGAGUGGGGGCUAAUGGUCGACUCCCCUGCUCGGACCCCGCGUCCCCCUCCACCUACACCCCGCAGGAAGCGGGUGCUCGAGGAGAGCGGGGAAGAGUCGGAGGUCAGCUGGCCCGACGUCCCAUCUUUCGACGAAGAGGCGGGCCAGGUCGUCGGGACCCAGGUGGUCAUCCCCGUGGCGGAUGAGGAGGAGGAAGAUGAUGACGCGCCCCUGAUCUUACGAAGGUCAAGGGCGCCUGCGGCGGUGGCCCCCUCCACGGCGGCCUCCGCGACGCCCAGGGCUGCGGCAACCCCCCGGGCACCCACGGCCCCACCCAAGCGGGGGCGCUUCCGGGGCUUUAAGUUCAAGCUCAACCCUCCGAAAGAUGGCUCCCCGUCGGGAGCCGGCAAGAGGGGGAGAGACGACUCGCCACCCGCCGCGCCGAGCAAGAGGACGCGCAUCCGGGCCGGUGCCAACACCGACCCGACCGGCAUGGGGGCCGGCGCCACCGCCAUUGCGCCCACCGCCGACCCAAUUCCAGUAGAGGAGGAGCCGGCAGCAGGUACCGAUCCCCUCCUGGAUCCGAUGGCAUAUGUUAAUCUCGUCCUCUUACCUGCAACGGUGCCGCCUUCUAAACUCGCAGGCGAAAUCCAGCCCGCAGCAGGCGGCCCGGCGACAGGGGCCGGAAUGGGAGAGGAGGAAGCUCUUCCCGCAAAUUUGGUGGCCCCGCAAGGUACUCACUCAGAGCCCCCUUGCAUUUAUCGCUGGGCAACCCAUCCCAUUUUCUAACCCCAUUCUUUGUCGCAGUCCCGACUGUGCUCACAACGGGAGCGGGCACGGUGGUGGUUGAUCUCGGCUCUGAUGCCGAGGAUGUAGGGACAAGGGAGGAGCCGGAAGGGGCUCCUGCGCCCAGCUCCCCCGCGGCGGACGCGACGGUGGCGGCGUCCGUCGGCGCUACCGGGGCGAAGCUCGGCAGCGCAUCCCGGGCCAUGCAGGCCGGGGACACGGAUCUCGCGGUCACCCCGCAGGAGGCCCCUCCUGCCGGGGAAACGGCAACUCCGCCAUCCCCGCAACCCAUUGGGGCGGGUGUGGAGGAGGCUGCAGCAAGGGAGCAACAGGAGGCUCCGCCGCGAGCGGACGACGCCCUCCCUGGCCAGACAGUGGCGGCGGGGGCUUCGUCGUCAUCCACUGCAGGAGAAGGAGCUCAACUCCGCCAAGGAGAGGAGCACCCAGCUCGAAUCCGCGUUGGCCGCCGCCCGGGAGGAGCUCGUAAAGGCAGGCUAGGACAACGUGGCCAAAGCCAAGGAGAUCACGCGGCAGACGGACCUCCUCCGCAAGUCUAAGCACGCCGUACCGCUCGCGCACAGCAACCACGCCACGCUUGUGGAGCAGCGCCAGAGGUAGACCCUGAAGCUGCUCAAGAUCGCCAAGGCGGUGCGCGACCUGCUGCCGCGAUUUGAGCUGCAGGCCGCGCAGGUGAACGGCACGGACGUCAGCACGCUGAUCCCGUUCUUAUCCAACAUGGUGGGGAAGCUCGGGGCUCGACUUGUGGAUCUCCAAGUUCUGCGACCAAGAGAUCGCCACGUGCGCCAGGGACAUCGCCGGGACGAUCCUCCCCCGGGUGCACCUCCGCCACCCGGAUUUCCCCUUCGAGACGCUGCCGGACGCCUGGUCCGACAGCGAGGACGGUCCCACCCACUGCCAGGCAGUGAGCAGGUUCGUCGACGAGGUGGUAGACCGGAUACAGAGGAAGCCCGAGCCCGAGUCGGAGCCAGAGCCCCCAGCGGAAGACGCCGGCAACUAGUCGCCUCAGCCCCCGUCGGUCCUCGUUUUAACUUCGUGUUUUUGUCUUUAAUUCCUGCAUGUGUCGCGGUUGGCGCCAUUUAAACAAUUAAUGUUUCUUAGUUCAUGUAAUUGUUUGUUGCUUUUAAGAAUUUCGUUCUUUGGUUCUGCUUAGUGCUUGUUUCUUGUUCCCAGGGUUGACUCGCGGGGUGGAUCUCCCGGCCUUCGUGUGUUAUGCCUUGUGUUGCCGGGGACUCGCGCGCCACACAUUUAACCGGACCAGGGACCCGGGACGGACCCGCAGUGUCGACCUGGGGUCAAGCGGCAGCGUCGAGCCACUCCGCUUGCGGGAUAGCCACCCCCACGCGUGCGCUCACGGGACGAACCCGCAAGCCGCACGAGGAGCGCACCCUCCCCGCAAGCGUCCUUCAAACACACCAGCCACAUGGAGGGCUCGAGCCACGCCAGCGAGCCAACGUUAAGCAUCGGAGAGUUCAGCGUCCAAGUGCGUGUACUUAGCUGUUCGUUUUUUACGCUCGGAAUGCCCGCCGGAGGGGUGCGGCAGGGACACUACGGCAGUGCACCCUUCGGCGAUAAGCACGAACAGCAUGCACCACCAGAGCUCCGCCACAACUGCCCUCGCCUUGACCCGCCUGCUUGAAGGAUGCAGCAGGAACGCUGUGGCGGGGCCGCCGCCGGUGCCAAGCACGGGUGGCGGCGCCACCACAGUGUCUCCGUGGCAACCAUCGCCUUGGAGACGCCCUCUGGAGGGAUGCGGCAGGAACGCUGUGGCGGGGCCGCCGGUGCCAAGCACCGGUGGCAGCGCCACCACAGCGUCUCCACGGCAACCCUCGCCUCGGAGUUGCCUGGUGGAGGGGUGCGACAAGGACGCGAUGGCCGUGCACCUGUCGGCGCUGAGCGCGGAUGACAUGCACCCCCAUCGCGUCUCUGUGGCCUCCCUCGCCUUUGCGGCCACCUUCUUGGCUUCGCUCUGAGCUGCUCCAUGGCCAUCGUGCCCUUUUAUAGGCGCGGUGAAGAAUCUUGCCACCACGCACGCCUAGUCACCGCGGCACACUUGGUGCUAUGCUCCUUGCAGUGCGGUACGGGUCCUGCCACCGCGCGUGCCAAGUCGCCGCGGCAGACGUGACGGCUCCCUCCGGCUGCAGGAACCUCGGGGUGCGUUGAGAACCUCGAAGCGCGGUUGCUACGCACAACCGGGCACCGCUAAAUGAAACACCUUGUGAGCGACCCACGAGCAUUACAGUGCGCACAACUCCGUCCUCACCCUGCAUGACAGAUUCUUACCGAGCCCAAGAUGCUGCAAAAAAAUUCGAAAUACAUGAAAAAAGACGUGACCGAUAGAGCACAGGUAACCCUCCUGCCUCCCAGCCCCCAGGCACAGAAGGGUCGAUACCAAACUUGGGUGUGAGCACCUUUCUAUCCCAGGACGCAGCUCCUGCGUUAUGCGCAUUGUGGGGAGUCCGGAAACGGCACGGCCCCGUGCCGGAGUAAUCCGGCAGCGAGUUUUCGUUUUCGAGGCUCCGGCAGCCCCCUGCUCACAACCAGGGAUGGAAAGAGACUUCUGUGCACCUAAAACAGGAGACAGAAGGAGGAAAAAUAUGCAAACAAUCGAGGUAGCUUGAAAUUCAGAGGAAAGUACUUAUCUUUAUUCAUAAGAACUAGUGGUUUACAAUCGGGGGUUGCCCGGCUACACUAGUGCGAGAGUCAUGCUACCGGAGCAUCACCUGUGGGUCAGGCUCCGCCGCUUCACGGGUAGAACUUGCACAAGUUCUCAAGGUUCCAACUAUUUUGCACCGGCAAGCCUUCUUUGGUUUCCAGCCGGUGUAACAUCCCAAUUUUUCUAAUUUGGAUGUUAUCACCUUUUUCAUGUCACGUGCAUAUCAUUUUGACCAUAUUUGAUUAUGGAGAUGAUCUUACAAUUUAAUUGGGAGUUUAUUUGGACCUUAAGAGUGAUUAUAUGCAUUUGUUACAAUUUAUUUGAGCUGCAUAUGCAUUAAAAAUUGUUUUAUAAAUUAUAUUUCAUGAGGAAACUAUUUUUCCUAGCUUCCAAACAGGUAUUUGGAAUUUCAGGAAUUUUCUGGAAUUUUUCCGAUGCCGUUUGGCAUUUUAUUUGCCUUAUUUGAUUUUCUGACAAUUUAGAGACCCAGAAAAAGCUAUUUCUUUAUUUGUUUUUCUUUUAUUCCACGGAGUACGUUUUCUCUACACGGAGGCGUAUUUCCGUGAAAUCCGUUUUCACUUAAGUGUACCGAAAGGGUAUCUUUUAAUCUCAUCCAUCCAUUUCCCAUCCAACGGCCAUCCUUUUUAUUUUUCCUUUUUCCUUUUUCCUUUUCUUUUUUUUCUUUUCUCCUUUCCUCCUUCUUCUUCCUCACGCACACAGGCACAUGUGCUGGCUGCGUCCAUGGCCAGGCCCAGCUCGGCCGCCGCUGCUGCUCGCCGGCCCUUGCCCCGCCGCCCUGGCUCCGCCCCUCGCCGCCGCAGCCCCGCCGCCCGCCCGCAGCCCCUGCCAUGGCCGAGCCCGAGCUCGAGCUCGAGUCACCGGCGUCCAUGGCCGUCCACCUCGAACACCACCCUCCGAACCGUUUUUCUCCGCGAUUUCUUCGCUAAUUCGUGACCCACACAGCAAGGAAUCUAUCCCAACAAGAUUGAAACCCUCCCGGACUCUAUCUCGUCCGAAUUUUAAGCGAAACCGAAUCCCGUUCAAAUCUCACCCGCCGCCGGCCUUAUCCCGAGCGCCCCGAGCCCUAUAAAUAUCCCAAGCUGACGCCCUCGAGAGCCCAGACCAAUCUCUCGAAAUCUAGCUCGAAGCCGCAGUCAACCUUGCCACCAAUUUCAAGUUUUGUCGCCGUUUCCACGCAAACUCCAACGAGCAAUUCCUACCGCCUCGCCCCAAAUUAGCCCGAGCCACCACCACCUUUAGAUCCCUAUCGACGCCUAGAACACCAUACACCACAGCCUUGCCUCCGGAAACCUCUGUUUCGCCAACUCCCAUCAACUCCGGCGAACUCCAUCUUCUCCGGUGAGCUUUCUUGCUCUGUUUUCGGGCUGCAGUCUAUUUUGAUUAGCCUACUUCUAUACUCCGUAUCUUUUGUUCCGUAGAUCCUAUUUAGGAAAUUCUUUUUGCAUCUGGUAGCUUACAUCUUGCUGUAUAAAUUAGACCUCUUUAGAAGCCCCGUCUCUAUCAUCUUCAGCAGUGCAUGAUCGUUCCAAAUCGGUAUUCCCAGUUAGUCUGUUUUAGAUUAGAUACCUUUCGACGUUCUUGUUGAGUAGAUUGUAGACCCGUUUAGGUUGUGAGCUCCUGUAGGAUGAUGAGUAGGUCUUGUAUUACACCCUGUUAUUUUUUUGCACCUUUUGUAGGUUUAGAUAAUGACCUAAAAGUUUGUCA